AUAAAUCCUCCGGACCUGUGGCACCUCUUAAGUCGCUUCGCUUCGGGCCUUCGUAGCUUAAUACAAUGAACAUCCAUAAAUAAAUAGGGGGUGUAGUGCCUGAAUUUCUUUCUUGUCCCCCAGUUUGAACAUGAAUGAAGAUGAGAUUUGACUUGAGCAAUAUUCUUUGCACCUCCUUCAUAGUCAUCUGGACCUUUCUUUUUGGCGUGGGAAUUGAACGAAGGCGCAAUUCAAUAUGCGUGAGAACCGAAAAUCUGAGAUAAUUCAGGCUUCGGACCGCUCCAGAAAAGAAAGAAUCUCAUCUUGACCUGAACUAAAAACCUAUCUUUAUAGAAGUCAUCGACCGCCUUGAUUUUAGCCUCUGGACCUCUUCAUUCUCGCAAUAUUCUUUGCGCCUUUAUCUUCUCUUUCUUCCUUUACCUCAAAAUCCUCUCUAUCCGACCUCUGCAUUCUCCAAAGACUUUAUUCAAAGAUUUCUUUCGAUAUAUCCUUUGAAUUACUCAACUAUAUCCUAUGAAUUUCAUUUCGCACCGGAAACUAUUAUCGGAGAAGUUCGAAUCCGUUUCGUUCGGAUAUUGAUCGGUCUUGCUUUGACAUGGUUUACGCGUUACUGGUUCCCGGAAGAGUUAAUAUCUCCAUUAGCUAAACCCUUUCUUACCCUGCCUUUGGACUCGUAUUUUGUUUGUACACAAUCAACGGAGGCCUUCCCGACAUAUCUUGCAAUGUCUUCAAUAGCAUGCUCUUACUUCGUCUUUCCCUUAAUAAGUCAUCAAAUUUGGUGCUUUUUGAUCCCCAGUUGCUAUGGAGAACAAAGGACGAAAUACAAUCUCUUCCUCUAUUUAAGUGGUUCUCGCUUCUCCUUAUUCCUCUUCCUAAGUCUUCCCCGGGUAGUUCCCAAUGUUUGGCACUUUCCAUACUUCGUGGGUGCAACAUCAACAAAUUCGCUCAUGAUCAAGUUACAACCUAAGAUCUAUGACCAUAUUAUGUUAACAGUUCGUAUUUCGUUCAUUCUAUCGGUAUGCUCCCAGGUACCUGUAAUUGUGAUCCGUUUGCCAGAACUAAGGGGUCUUUCUGUGGAAACCUUCACGAACAAUCGUCGUUUUUUGAUGGUUUUUCCGCUUUUCACAGCUGCUCUUUCCACACCUCCGGAUAUCUGGUGCCAAAUCGUCGCCCCUUUCCUUAUUUCUUUGAUGAUGGAGUUGGCUAUCUUUGUGGCAUCGAUUGUACAAGUUCGUUCAGAGGGCUGGACGAGUGGAAUGAGGUGGCUAUUUUUUUCCAUUAAUCAGUCCUCCGCCUAGAAAUUCACUUUGCGACUGAGGACGGCUCGAUCGAGAAAAAAGAAGAGGGGAACCUGGCAAAGUCAAAUCAAUAGAUUUCAGAGCAAUUAUCCACCAACAUAUGCUCUUCAUUCCCGUAAAGAUGAUAAGAGAGAGAGGACUCCUCCUUACCGCUACGUGGGGAGCGGGAUAAACAUCCCCCCCUAAAGCGCCGGUGAAGAAGGCGAGCAAGCAAAGCAGGAGCUCGGGCAUUCUUAUAUUCCAUCAAGAGAAAGGAGGCAGACUGUCAAUGAAAAGUAUCGCGAAAAGCUCAGCUUUGCGGAACGGACCACUCUCAAAUUCUUUGAGCCUUACUCUCUCUCUAGAAAAAAAGCCUGCGGGAAGCGCGAAGAGCUAAGCCACUAAUGUCGUGGCGAAGGUUAUACCUCAGAAAGUCAGCGAAGCCCACGUAGCGGUUGAGUAUGUCUUUCUUAUAUCCUUGAGAUCGAGCGAGAACUUCUAAGGAAGGCCUGAAUUCCCCUUUUCAAUCAGUAAAAAAAAGCGAGACUAAAAGAAGUUGCGCUUUCUUGAUUCUUAGUGCGAUCUAUUUUUGCCUAUGGGUUGGUCCUUCUAGAUCUCAUGGAAUAAGGCUUUGAACUCAAACGUUCAGCUAGCCCUAAAAAGAAGGCUACUCCUACCUGCUUUCAUAGAAAAAAAGAAUUGUGGAGAUUCAAUCCUCAUUACAUUACCGCAGGCCAAAAUUGGAUUUCUCAGAGCUCGAAAAAAAGAUGAUGAACAAAAUUCCCCGUCCUCCGUCGCAGGUUAAUAUGGGGAUAGUCCUUCGGACCUGUGACGCCUUCGGACCUGUCUUAUGGCACCGCGGAGUGGGCGCAAUAUUCUUUGCUUUCUCAAAUUGCAUUGAGCCUGAUUUUUCUUCUUCGCGCCUCCUACAAUAUCCCUGUCUUAUGGAGCCGGAGGACGGACCAAAAAAUAGGCGAAGCGAAUACUCGUGCAAGUGCAGAGGACAACAAGGAUUUAGUGGACGAGGUCCAACAACAACAAUCUAGUGGUUUUCUAUUAAAGGAAUAAAAAGAUAUCGGAAGAAGUACAUUGUUAUUGGAUCCGACCUAUCCACUUAACGACUAUCCACUAGAGAAGAAAUAAGCACACACCACCGCUCCGUGGGCAUUGCAUGCAUUUGCAUCUUGCAUAUAGUCCCGAAAUAGGAAAACCCGGUGGGAAGGAAGUAUUGCUUGCUACGGUCCAGGGAGCCGAGUCAGUCAUACCAUCCCCAAAACCCACCACCUGCAGCCGAGAGGGUAUACCAAAGUGGGAGUGCAUAGUACCGCUUGACCAGUCCUACGUCCUAGGGAUGAAGGGCUGGGAGGUCUAUUUUGAAGCCCCCAUUGCAGUGGGAACCUUAACUUGUCCUACUAGAGCUUAAAUUCAAUCAUGUAGUGGCCAUAGAACUACUUCACACCCAACCCAGUAGGAUGGACCUGAGCACUAAGCAAGACUUUUUUUAUAGGUUCUUUUUCUUUUUCACUUCAUUCCCCAUCCCGCAAGAAAGUUCCCCUUGAACCGUCCUGGGUCCGCCCAUCUCGCCGACUGGUUCGUGUAGCAGAAGUUAGACCCCCUUUUUCAGAAUCUCCCAUUGUAGCUACUAUGUCAGAUGAACCCGAAAUCCCGGUUCCGCCUGAACCAACCACUUUCGACAUUCUCAAGGCUGGCCCAAAAGGAAAGCUUUCACCGGGCCAUCAAUAAGUCAGCUCCUUCUAUCUACUGCACCUCAAGGACCUCCGGUUCAGGUCUUUGAUGAUUGUGACCAAUAUGCCUCAGACUCUCCCGACCCAGGACAGCCUUUUGAAUUUCACAGGCCACAGCCAGUCCUUCCUUCCCCUAAAGCCAGAACUGAAAUGGAAAAAUGGUUGAAAGAACAAGGCUCGAUGAAAUUGAGGAGGAAGAGUUUCAGAAAGUAAAGGGUCGUCAGACCAUGGGCUCAAGAUGAAGGGAUUUCCCAUUUUUCCUCUGGUUGAAUCUCCGUUCGACGAUGCCUGAGAUAGACAAAUAGGAUGGAACUGGCUGUCCUAAGACGCAUCUGCUGCUCUUUUUCUCAAAUGUAGGUUCUAUGAGGCUCACUCAAGAUGGCCAAAAUCUUUCCUAGAAUUCUUAGUGGGGCCACUGGGGUUCACACAGAUUGACAAAUCUACCCUGGAUGACAUCGCCAAUGUUGAAAGAAUAGCAAAUUCUAAGACCCCGAUUAAAGUAAGCAGAAGAGGCGCAAUUCCAUAUGCGACCAAAUUCAAGAUGAACGGAUUUCCUGGCUGUCAGACCAAAAGAAGAAAGCCUACCCCCAGAAAAGGAAAAAGAGAUGAUAAUGAUCAAUAAGAUGAGUAGGCAAUACCAUUACUAUAGAGAUUUCCAAGGGAUGAUUACUUAUGACUCUUUGAUUGAAGCGGCCACUCGUAUUUCAGAUGCUAUCUACAAUGGGACUCAUGGAUCACAGGUCAAAGAGGCAGAUCCAAAAGAAGAUAGCCGGGAACAAGCAAGAAGAGUUCAGUCAAUGUCUUGUCUGACGUAAAGCCAAAGACACCCAGGACUUUCACUCCCUUUUUCAGAACUCUCGCCGCGCCUUGGAAAAGCUGAAAAAGCAUGGUGUACUCACGCCUCUUCGCCCAUCUCCGCCACCAGAUCCGAUUCCCUCACUCAAUCUGACUCUGGAAGUUAUGCUGCCGAAGGAGAAUACUGAGAAAAAGCAAAUUCGGGGAAAGCUGACUCUUAGAGUUCCCUUUCUGCUUCUGAAAAAAUUGGGAAUUCCCUUGCUCCCUCAACUGGAAGAACCGACAGCUACUUCUUGUCGAGCUACUUUGUUCCACUCUCAAUUCAUUCAGCCUUCUCCUUAAUAAUUCCGGGGUUAGCUGUAGCUGGCCAUGUACCCUCUUUCAGUAUUGGGUGCCUUCUUUCCUGAGACUGAGAAUUCCGAUAAAGAGAUUCUCACUUAGUCGUAUCCAUAUUAAUAAUAGCUUUCUUCAGAAUUCCGACACAGAAAGAACAAAAGCUACUGCCACUUCCUCAACCGAUGAAGACCCAUCCAGUCAAUCCGGGAAAGAAGCUGUAGACCUAGGGUUAGCCGUUGAGAUCCUAAUUAAUAUAGUGAUUGCUUUCCCGCUAGUCCUGGGGAGCAUCUAUCCUAUCCUUUCCAGGUUCAACUGAGAAUGACCUUUCAGAUUCAAGAUCUAAUUACCUUGAUUCCGGAAGUCUGAUUGAUUCUUGAUGAGGCUUCGGAUUCAAUCUUCUUUUCACCUUUAUUACCUAGCUUACUCGAACUAAGUCCCAAUCCUCUUUUCCCAAAGUCAGUAGAAAAAUAAUCAAAGCAGAUCGAAUUGACAAGCCAAUGUACCGAAUCGCUGGAUCCGUUGAUAUUGAAUAGAUUCUUAUUAUCGACUCUUUCGGAGUGAAAAAGAGAAAAAAGACUGCAAAGGAAGAACCUACUAAAAGGACCUACGGUUGGUGCCUUGCCUCCAGUUCCUUUUAGUAGCUUUAGAUUCCUGUCGAGUUGAGUAAAAAACUAUCUUCUUUUUCAGGUAUUACUAGAUCAGAUAUAGAUAUUCUAAGAAAAGAACUCACUCUUCUUCGGAAAGGGGAGAAGAAAGGAGCUUUCUUUCAUAGUAGGGUUCACGAAGUCGAGAAAAAGGGCUUGACCCCCACGGAGCGGGAAAGGGGAAAAAGGCAUGUCAAACCCGCAGGUCGGAUUAUCGGAUGAAUAGUGGCACGGGUCGGCAUGGCAUCAGUUGUGAAGAUCAGCCUGAGCCACCUAGGGGAAUGAAGUUGAAGAAGUGGCGCACGUCCCCGUUGGUGUGGUUCUUGCUUGAUUUCAAAGCAAUUCUUUCUCAGAUUGUAUGAACGAGAAGAGAAGAAAUGGAUGAAAUAUCGUAACCAGCAACCGAGACUGGUGGGCGGCGCCUCUGCCUCCAAAGGCGGGUUAGGCUUCAACUUCUACUUCAACAGAAAGAGAGGGAAGAAAUCCUGCAACUUCAGCCGAUACUUCUGCUGGCACAACGACUGAUACUAGGCGGCUACUUCCGCUGAUCUCACAACGUCAGCCUCUGCUUCAACGGUUCUGAUCCCUAGUGAAGGGGCAAACUCAGACGCACGCUGCGACUCCCAAUUUAUGACUUUCCGUUGUUUAGGAAGGAAUCCGAGACUGGUAGAUCUUAUCACCGCUACGUGGGGAGCGCAAAACGUCAAGGGGUAUAUCUAGGUCUCGAUCACGUGGUUGAGGAGGCAGAAUAAGCCGAUGCUUCAGACGUCUCUCUUCUUCGAUCAGCACCACGUAGUGGGUCACGCCCCAAGGCCAAUAGAAGGCCUUUUAACGAGAAAGAAUGGGAUUAACAUUGACAUGUUUAAGUAAAAAAAACAAUGAAGAAGCCACGCGUCAGGCCAAUGCAUGAAUCAGGCAUGAGCAUACCGAAUCAGCAAGGACGGCUUCUACCGCCGCAGCUACAACAACCUUUCAUCCUAAACCUCCUCAAAUUCUUUGAGCCUCAACCGUUCGCUAAUCAGUCUGAGGAAUGCUAGUGGAGACAGGACGGGAGGGUAGUAGUAUGUAUGGUCGUACCGCGUAGUGGGCAUUCGUAUUUCAAGCAGUUAGGUUCUGCGCAAGUAACCCGACGGCGAGCUGCCUAAUCCAUCCUCAACCGCGUAGUGGGAGAAUUAACAGAGAAUGAAAGAGAGAAGAAUUUCUGAAAGAUUCCCGCGAAUGGCGAAAGAAAUAAGAAGAAAACAUCAGAUAUAAUGAGAAUGCAAUAAUCAGCUUAUAAUCAGAAAACCCACUGAAAAUGAAAAGCAGAGGACUAGGAGUCCGUAGUAGGACGUAGGAGUUCGAUUUGCGCUCCUUAACUGAAAGGACGUAGUAGGACUCCCGUAGUAGGCUGAAUGAAUAUGAGUUCCCGUAGGUUCUGCUGUAAGGCCUCCGGUUCCUUUAAGUAGGUUUAGUAGGUUCGUAGGUAUGUUGCCGCUCCGGUCCGAAGUAGCUUAAUUAGUAGGAGAUUCUUUUCAGUAGGUAAGUAGCAUUAUAUUAAGCUACGUAGGACGCGUAGUAGGCACGGAAUCAGACGUAGUAGGAGCGGUAAGACUCUUACAAACAUUACUAUGCCUUCUACGGACUCAAAAGGAGAGGUUUGAUUCCACUUUUCUUUUCAAAGACAUUCUUAGCAAAUAGAGUCCAAAACAAGGACCUACGGGACCCAAAAGUCAUAAAAAAGAGAUUUCCCCUUAGGUUCCAAUGCAAAACAAGGCGAAUUGGGGAGUUCAAAGAUUUGCCGAUGGAGGAUAUGCUGACGCCUAACUCGUUGAUGUAAGCGUCCUUGUGUCGGAAAUGAGAACGUCAUCGCCAAGGACCGCGUAGCGUCAGAGGUCAAUCUUCUACCACCAGGGUUUCUUGGUCCUCCUCGGUCCCCUUCAGACCGUGCCGCAGCUCUUUCAGCUUUAGUAGUUGUUCUGAGAUCGGAUCGAGGGUAGGGAAUUGCUCCUUAUAGAGCUAAAUACAGGCUGAUUUUUCUCUUCAUCCUCUUAAUGUCAAGUCUUUUCAUUGCCCCAUGCAGCCUUUCAUUUCCAUUCUGAUCUUGGGAAUGAAUUCGGUAAGGAAGUACGAUUAGCGGAAGGCCUAGAAGCGCAAGACUAUAGGACUUCCCCUAUCAGGCUUUCUGAUCGAUCGUCAGAAGUAUAUCUGUUGGCAGCACGUAAACGAGUUUCACGAGCCGUUGAAUGAGUCGGCUGGAAGUUGAGCAUUAAUGAAUUACGUUUUCCCUAGGCAAACUUCUUCCUUUGGACCUCUUUAUUCCAUUAACUUCAUAGCUCAGAUAACUGGGAAAUGACUUUCCCAAGUGGUCGAAACCCCCCACCCCAGUAUCGAAUUGACUCUGAAGCUAGGGAUUGACCGCGUAGUGGGUUAGGAAGGGUCAAAGAAAGCCGCUGCUCAACGAAGCCCAGGCCCCACCCAGGCGUCAGAGAGGAAGCGAACCCCACCUCUUUCCGGUGCUGGAUUAGGCCUCGUUGUUGUACCUGCUGUUGGAGUAGCUUGACUAGCGAUUCUUUGAUAUAUGGAUUAUUCGGCUUCAGCCGGGUCUGUCGCAGCCGAGGUUGAAGAAUAUAGGGUGAGGGCAUCGAUCCUAAGCCAACUCGGCCCGGCCGGUAUAUGAAUACCUAUCCAACUGGGUAUUCGGUAUAUUGAGCACCUUUCCAGGAGAUGAGUAGUCAUCCUAUACUAAAUCCUAAACUUAUCAUGACCCUUCUCUUUUCGAUCUGGCCCUAGUGCUAGCUUUCCCUUUUGCUUUGAGUACUUCUUCCUGUGCUCCGAAUCGUCCGAAGGACUCAUUUCCUUGCCGUAGGUGGUCUUCCGAAUCGUCUAAUAUGUCCUUAUCAAUGAGUCUGAAGACUCUGAAAACCGGAGGAGUAGUCUUCUUCCAUUGAAUCCAUAUCCGGAGAAGAAACCUCUUUGGUUGAGAAACUUAGUCCCACUUGUCCCGUUAUUUCCCUUUUGAAAGAGCUCCUUUUAUGGUGGUCAAGUUCGCUCCUUUCCCUUAUGUACGGUCAAGUGUAUGGGAAAGCUGCCUUCGCUCCUUUCCUUUCUCUCGUCAAACUCGAUAAAGCCACUUCGCUCCUUCCUUGUAAAUGAGAGGUCUUAAGUCAACUUGAUUACACGCUUUUCCGUGCUUUCUUUUUCUUGAAUCUCAGAGUUCAAGCUCAGCUAGGGUCCGAAGGACUUGUUUAUGGAACUGAAGCUUUGAAAGAGGAGAGAAAGAGAUUUUCUUUGAAAGAAGAAAAGCAACUCCAACAGCCUCAUCUCCAGCAACGAGAACAAAAACAACGACUUCCCAUGAAAGACAGCGGACUAGAGCGAGCGAAUACUAAACCCUUUCUUAUCUGACUGUGCCUGCUUACUGUGCUGGUCGAGCUUGUGCCGACUUUCUUCCUCGUCCCUCUUCUGUUGGGGCAGGGCGAAUACGGCCAAUAGGGUGUGAAGCUGCCCACUACGCGGUGGUUACAGGGGGAAGCAAACUCACCCUUCCACGAUCCCGACUAAAUAAAAAGGAAGAGGUUCUCUCGUUGAAGAAUCGGAACCGCUGUUCAAGAUUGCACAGUUCGAUAUAUGUUUAGGGAGAAAAGGGCAGCAAGAUCUUCACUGCUUAUUUACGAUAAUCUUUUUUCCUUCCUUAUUUUCCAAUAGGGACUCGGGACUCCUAAUCCUAGGCCUUGAUUCCAUUCCCCUUGGAGGAGAGGGAAAUAGGGACUAGAUCCCAGGGACAGGAUAAUCAGGACCUCCUUCUUCUUAGCAAAUGCUCCGAAUCUAGUAAUAUGGAAAGAAAAAGACUACUCCUACGGUUUUCAGAGUCCUUCGGUCUUCAGACUCCGACCGACUAAUUAAGCUACGGAGGACGAGUUUCCAUAUUAGCUUUCUUCAAUGACAUUGGAUUGAAACUCUUUUUCUUUUUUGAGGUAGCUUCUUCAAUUUCCUACAAAGAAUGUGAAGGACCGGUCGGUGGGGUUGAAUACCCUGGGUUUCACCUACGAGAAGGGAGCCCACGUAGGGGGAAAGAGAAGGAUGAAUGAAAGAGAUCAUUCGAUCCCGUUCGAACUUUCAAGAAUGAAGAAGUCAGAAAAAGAGAUAACUUGAACCUUUCACUUUUUACAAUGAACUCGGAAGAAAAAGAAGAGCAAGUUCUGUCAUUUCUUUCAUUCAUUCAAGUACAAUAGCCCUUUCGAGCAAUAUUCUUUGCACCUUUCAGAGUAUUGAGCGCUUAGAGCUCCCUUCACUGAUGGGUGGAGACAACUAGUAUUCUGGUCUCUGAAAAGUACUAUUCCGUAGAAUAGAGUGUAUUCGUUCAGCCUUCGCAAGGAUUCCCAUAUCUCUUUUGCCGAUCGAGACUCCCGCAUCGAAACCAGACUUUAGGAUUAGGAUUCCUCGAAAGAAGGGCGAGCGCUGGGCUUUGAGUGAUAUCAAGACUCUCGAAAAUUGAAUUCAGCCUCCUAACCCCGUGAAUUUUGAAUCUUUCUUUUGAUUUGGAAGAGGUACCCUUCAGAGUCGAUUCAACUAUAGCAAGCUUAUUCAAGGAUUCCCAUAGGAAGACUCGUUCGCUUUAAAGCACUUAAAGGAAGGAAGGCAAUUCAAAGAAUAGGAAAGAAGCGGGCACGGUAGAUCCGCUCAUCCUGGCUUCAAAUCCUAGCUUGAGUUGCCACGGGAACCGCGUAGUGGGCUGAAGUUAGGGAGAAUGCACAAUCACAAUUGACUAGGGCCUAUGCGGAAUGGAAUCAUGUCAAAUCGGCGUUAUGAAUCAUAAAGGUAACUCAAAGGGGAAUCAAGGGGCUCAAUAGGCUCUGUCUUUCGGCCGAGUCUCGGGGGAGUAUUUGGACCGUGAACAGAGGGUCAAAGAAUAUUGACUGGAGUUCACUUAGGGGAACAUCUCUUUUUUGAGUAUUAUCUCUUGCAGUAGCUCUUCGUGUUGACUACCACCAGUGCUUGUUUAAGCUGUAGCCCUUUUGGCUUGAGGUGCGAAUGAAGAUGUUGGAAGUCGCUUUCUUUCAAAGCUCUUAUUCUUUGAAUGAAUCUAGGAUGAACAAGUAGGAUGAAUAAGAGAAAUCCGUACAAGAAGGAAGGGACAAAGGCCCCAGGCACGAGGCAUCAUCGUAUAAUAGAAAAGGGACAAAGUCCCACCAUAAGGACGCCCCACCCGCGUAGUGGGAAGAGGCGCCCACUCGACUAAGCUAAGAAGGAGAGGCCUAGAGGAAGACUUUUGACGGUAAAGAAGAAAAUGGACUCAGGAGGCAAGGAGAAUCCAAUACACACUCUCAAAAGGAGGGAUCUCCUAGGCUUUACUUGGACGUCCCAGUACUUCUGCUUUCAGUUCUUCUUGUGGCUGUAUUAAAUUAAAGAAGAAGGAUCUCUUUCGACUUCUAAGUAUGAAGCAGCUUUUGCUUGACCGAGGUGUUCACGAAGCAAGAUCCCUUUCAUUAUCUGAAGUUGACUAGGGCCCACGGAGCGGGAAUACCGGUACCCCCAAGGGAAAGAUCUCACUCAGUCCAGGAGGAAGAGGCAUAGUUUAGUGUUGAGGUUUGUUCAUUCUUGACAUAUUUCAUUCAUCUGCAGAAGUAGAAAAGCAGAAGUAGACAAAAGAAAUAAUGGGAUCACUCGCAGGAAGAAAAGAAGGUUGGCGGGAGGUCUGAAAUUGAGGCCUUUCCUUUCGAACUCACCCAUGCGUGGCGAAUGAGAUAAUCGGCGGCUCAUUUACUGGGCGAAAGAUGUCUUUCUACCCUUGAAUCUCGUUCAAAGCAUUUUGUCGUAGAAAGACGAUGAUCGGACAAGAAAAGCUACUUUAUCUCCUUCAACCAUUUAUGCAAGAGCCACUUUCUAUUCCACUGGGCGGGUGUCUCGCAUUUCAUGGGGGUUCCUCCUCUAGAUUUUAUGGAUUCUGUCUCGCUACUCACUUCCCUUCCUUUAGCGUGUCCAGCCUGUAGACCUCGUUUUGGGAAGGGGCGGUUCUCAUUCUCUUACCAGGAGAUUCAACCUAUAAAAGGCUCAAAGAAUAUUGAGAGUGCAAAAUAAUGGAUUUCUAGUCUGGAAAAAAGGCCUACUUUUCUGGUUCAUUCAUUAUCUCAAGAAUUAUCGAAGAAGAAUUGAAUUUUGAUCUUUGAUUUAGUGGAAUUAAUGGAAAGCCUAUCCAAGAUCAUCCCCAUAUUCAUUAGGCGAAGGACUCUGAAAUCGGACAGGUCUCGCUAUGGAAUAACCUUGCCUCCGGUCCCUGGGAAAGAGAAUAGCCAUUUUGCACUUUUGGCUAUCCUUUUCUUUAUAUAAAGCAGCAAGAUAUAGGGUUGAGUCAAAAAAGGACUAUUAUCAUAAUCUAAUCCAGAGAAAAUGGAAGACUGAGCUCGACCCUUAAAGGUAAAAAAGGUUUGGUCCUUCGGACAGGUUUUGUCAAUAUUCUUUUCACUCAUUGACUCGUCUGAAGUUCAUUCAGAAAAAUCAAGCUAAGAGUCCUCCGGACUAUCUAUCCAUAUUAACCUAGCCUUCGGACCAGUCAGAAGUCAGAAAUCCAUAUUCACUUCUUGGACUUAUUUAUUCCAUUCAUUUUCUUCCUUAACUUACUUGCUGCUUAUUCUGUUAGGUCUUCUAUUCAAUUGAAUAAGAGUCACUGAACUCGGGGAAAGGGUUUCAGGUGGAAAGAGUACAAGUCUUUCAGCCGUGGGUUGGUCUACAACCUCUGACGCUCGAGCGUGAACGAUCUUGGUCUUGGGUCGAGCGUACGUCUUCUUUCCUUUCUGCCUCUGCGCUUAUUGCUUCCCCUCGUGGGAGAGUUUAGUGCCUGCCUUCUUUCUACCUUUUCUUGUCCCGCUUAGUUUCACUUAAAUAGGAAGGGGUCUUUCUUCGAUCUUUCCCUAAUAGUCAGAUUCAGGUCUACAUAGUCAGACUGAGUUUCAUGAGUCAGAUUCAAUAGCUGGAUUCGGGAUUCACUCCCAACUGGCAUUGAAUUCGGUCGGAAGGGGGAACUCAUUUGAUUAGGGUAGCUUGAAGGAGACGGUCUCGGAUAUGCUUUCCCUAGUUUAGAGGUUAGAACUAGAAGAAUAGGUUUCAUUCUCAAAGACUGAUUCCCUUCAUUCAUCACAGUUCCAAGGGAAUGAAUUGAAUAAGAGUUCGAGUCGGAUCGAUAAGAAGAAGAAGAAAUCCCGUACGGGAACAAGAGGUAACGAAUUCUCAUGAGCCCGCUGCCGCUCCAACCAGUAAAGAAGAGAUCCAUGCUACAGAAGUGCUUUCAUUCGUAUCACGCUUUUUCCUGUGAUAAUGGAAGUUGCCGAAUCCAUCCCCAAAGAGUCUUCUUUCUUUCUACAUCACAUAAAUAGACAUCUUUCGACCAGUCACCUGGACCUUUCUUUCAAGAUUUGUGGCCCCACUCCUAGGUUAGGCCGACGGAGAUCGUUAGGAGAUACCCGAUCUGAUCGAACCGCUACGUGGGCGAGAGCAUCUUCAAGAGACCGCCGGUCCUAUGCCUCCACGGGGACAGAGUCUGAUGAAAGGGCAACUGAGACUGGUCCCUUCCCCACAGGAGAAUUUGCACGUCAAUAUUCUUUGACCCUCGUCACUUUGAAAGUCAAAUCCCUCUCCCUACGGUCUCGCUAUUUCAUCCCUCUCCCUCUACACCGCUACGUGGGAAGUCUCGUAUUCUAGCUUGCUUCUAGAACUCGGAAAGAUAUCAUACUAACAGAUAACCCCUACUUUCUCCUCUCCUUAUGUGACUAAUACAGUGGCUCAGUCUACAGCGUAUCAUCUUUCAGGGGAAAAGUGGAAUGGCAAUAACUAUUUCUCAUGGUCUCAGUCAGUGAAGAUGGUCCUUGAAGGACGGCAUAAAUUUUCCUUUCUGACAGGGGAAAUACCUCGCCCUCCACCGGGCGACCCACAGGAACGAUACUGGAAGGCAGAGGACUCUAUUCUUCGAUCCAUAUUGAUCAAGAGUAUGGAACCCCAGAUUGGCAAGCCCUUACUCUUUGCUGCAACAGCCAAAGAUAUUUGGGACACGGCCCAGACACUUUACUCCAAACGUCAGAAUGCCUCUCGCCUAUACACGCUGAGGAAGCAGGUUCAUGAAUGCAAGCAAGGAAGCAUGGAUGUCACAUCCUUUUUUAAUAAGCUUUCUCUUAUCUGGCAGGAAAUGGACCUAUGCAGAGAACUAGUCUGGAGUCAUCCCAGUGAUGGUUUGCAGUACUCUAGAAUUUCAGAGAUUGACAGUUUCUUGCUGGUCUUAAUCCUAAGUUUGAUGUAGUUCGAGGGCGUAUGUGAGUGAGUCUGCUGGACCUUCUCAACCACCUGAUUCACACGGGAACCAGAUCGAUCCCAGUCCCGCUACUUUAGGUGCCAUUGUCCAAUCAGGUAUACCUCAGUCCUUCGGUCUUAUUAGUGUUGAUGGGAAGAACCCCUGGAUUCUGGAUUCUGGCGCCACGGAAAACUUUUUCGCAAAUUCUUUGCUCCUAGCGUCUGCUAGAAAAUAUGCUGAAUACUUGCGCUCCUUUCUUCUUUUCUUAGAUAAAUGCGCCUCAAAUUCUUGGAGCCUCUCCCUAUGGUCGUCCGGAGGUUCUUCCUUCCAUAUGGAUGGUCCUACGGAUAAAUCACCUGGACCUUUCUUUGGCCCUGCGGACUGCGGACCCUGGACCUUUCUUUGGCACUGCGGACGUAGGACGUAGGACUGGAAGGAGCGAAGCAAAGAGCGCGAGACUAGAGAGGAGCCCUUAUAUUAUGAAAUUCAAUAACUCGACUCCAAACAAAAGGAGAGGUUCAAAGCUCAUUGAAUAAAGACUUAUUCUUCCAAUGUGAAGGAGUGCAUUAUGUGCAAAUGGUGUUUAUGAGUCCUCCGGACGACUCAAAACAUAAAGGAUCAAAGAAUGAAAGAAGAAUUUGAAAGCGAAAGUAAUUAUCCUUCAAAGGAGUGCAACGAAAGAAAUCCAUAUUAACAUUAGGCCGGUCGACUCAUAGGUUGAAAGAGUGGGUGGUGCUCCGUCUUUAUGAUUCGGCUUUUUAUGCCUCCGCUCAAGACUCACACUCCUUGGCGAACUGGAACGGAGUUGGAAAAGUCAAAAGCCUUUCUUUAUCUGUCCUCCGGACUAUCCAUAUUCAGGAGCGGAAUCAAGAAUAGACCCGUCAGUAUCCGGACCAUAAACUCAAACUAGAACUGAUCCAUGUGAAUUUCUGGGAUAGGCUUGAUUCUUUCAUUGCGUUUUCCCGGCUUUUUUGCUUCUAAAUAGGACUAAAUCAAAGAUUGAUAUUUAACGAAAAUUGUCGAAAAAAGAAGGAAUUUUCAUGAUUUCUUGCUACUUUAUAGGCCCAAAACCUAGCAAAAUCUUGUAUUUCCCUCCGCGGAUUCAUCUUCAAUCUAGCUCUGAAAUCUAGCAGAUUCAUAAUGAUUCUUUCAUUCUCGUUAUUCAAUCAGAAUUCUUCUUUCAUUAUCGUUAAUGAACUGAUUAAGAAGAAUCCACAAAUGUCUAAUCUUGAAGAGCGAAAUCAAUGUCUUCUUUUUCAUGACUGCCAUAUUCUUUUCAGCUCUCCUUAUCAGUCCGGAGGACUAUCCAUUAGAAGCGCCUAGCAUUUUCUGGGAUUGAACUCCCUCGAUCAAAGUAAUAGCUAUGAAUAGUCCAGAGGCUCAAAGAAGAUUUCGACGGAGCAAAGUUGGAUAUUAUUGGAAUAACUCCUAUCGGAGGGCUCAAGACGAGAAAAGAAUUAUCUCAAGAGAAGCUCGACAAGGGCAUGUCUCAUCACCCCAUUAAUAAAGUAGCGUCCACUAAGAAGAGAGGAGGUGCAGUUAUCAAUCUCAUCGCUUACCAACAUGUCUAAGCGGGACCAGGCCCACAAAGAAGAGAGUAGGAAUUCGUUGCUAGUAGGGAAAAUCUGAUCUUUUCUUAAGGGGACUCUACUAAGGAGGACUCUUUCCCGACCCCUAUUGUACUUGUACGAGCAGCUGCCGACCGAGUGAUGCUCCGAUUUCUCUUAUUGCUUGAGGCUAGGGUCUGGGUCUUUGAUCAGUCUGAUUCUGAAAUUCUGAAAUACUGGUAUACCCUCAUAACGAGUCAGAAUACCUAUCCAGAGUCAACUAAGUCAGAAAGGGCACGGUCUUCAGCCGACCCCACAUCAGGUUCAGGGGAAGGGGCUGUAUUGGUAUUCUCUCUUUCCGAGCGAGGAGUUGAGGACCUCAGAUGGAAUAAGAACAGGCCUUGUCAGAAUACCAGUUUCAUAGGCUUUCCAACCAUCGUGGAAAUCUUCGCUUUUGGAAUGAAGAUGGAUCCGGUCGAGGAAUUCGGUUCGGCAGUUGGACAGGAAGUUGCAGUCUUUGUGGUCCUCCCUUGAAUCUCUUGAAUCCGUACGAUUAAACUUGGGCACGCCGAGAAAGAUCGGAAGACCUUCGUUAUAUCUCAUUUAUGAUCAAAUAACUCAAUCAAAGAUUCCAGAUAGAAUCCCAUAAUCCCAUGAAAUAAGGAAAUAGGCCCUGUCUCAGUCCCGCUACGUGGGGGUUGGAUUCCUUCUUUCUUGGAAAGUCUGCUUAUCUUUCUUCUGAAUUCACUCUUUCAUGAUUGAUGAAAGGGGAUCCCAUUUACCGCACGUAAAAGAAAAUAGAGGCAAAUAACCUAGGCUUUCUCUUUCCGACUACAAUAUCCCUGUCUUAUGGCACCGCUCCGUGGUCCUCCGGCGCAAUGAAAUAUGCGACUUUGCGCCUUCGGACGGACGGAAGGAAAGAGCUACCUUUACCGCGUAGUGGGAUCAUUUCUGAAAGACUGCAAAGUCUUUUUCAAUGGAGCUUCAGUCUCUGAUUUAGUAGACGAGAGGUGGUUCACCCGAUAAAGGCACAGGGGACGAUCGGAACCCGUCGGCGAAGAACAAGAGUCAGGCAGUACUAUGAGCGUAAGAAGAAAAUGAGUGAAGGUUGGGAGUGGGUCUCAUGAAGUAGGGUUCAGAGUAUUCAAGAUCCCUUCUUCGGUAUCUUUCCUCAGAUCUACAGACCAAGGCCGUCGGCUAGGCCUUUCACGCGAUUAACUGGGAUAAACUUAGGCAUCUGAUUACAAGAAAAGGAUAAAGACAGAAAGAAGGACUGAUUUUAGCCUCAGAUCUCAUUAUCCAUCCCAUGGAUUCAACCCCGCAAACUGCAGGUCGAAAGGAAAGGGCCUUAUUGUACAUCUUUCACGCUCCAUCCCUCCUCCCGACCUUGUUUUCUUCUCGCGUGAGUCCGCCUUGUUUCACUAUUUCCUUUUGUACGAAGAGCUUUCUAGAAAGAUGUAAUUCAUUCACCUAGCCCUGUGCCUCCAAAGGCGGCCCACUACGCGGUUCAAAUCUCUCUUCCAAAGGCGGAUGAGGCAGCAAGAAGUACUUCAAAGAACAGAUCUUUCUACUUCUCCAGCACCUCACCUCUCCAAAGAAAGCGAUUCACACCUUUCCCACUCGGAUCGGAAUCCACCAUUAGCGCGGUUCGGGGGACGGGGCGGUGGGUACAGGCCAUGAGCAGUCCCAAUAUUCCUUCCUGAGCCUCCGGACCUUAGCCUUAUUCAUUCGGCUUCGUAUGAUCUCUUUCCCGAGUUGACUCGGAAUCAGAAUCGAAUUCCCAGUGGUGCUCAGCGAGCUAUUGAACUAACUAUUCCCAAUGAGAAUAUCUUGAAAGAAAGAAUAUCAGAAAGAUUCCCCGAAACCACAAUAAAUCAAUAUCGUCAAAUCGAGUAAGAAAACAGGACAUUACACCCAGCCUCCAGCUUCUUAUCUGACUUUUCUUUUGAGUCUUCUGCCUCCGAUAUUAAUGUUUGUAAUAGUCUUUGUUCAUUGAUUGCGCGUAGAAGGAGUUGUCUUUCUUUGACAUAGUUUUUGACUAUCAGAAAAUUGAAUGAUUAUAAGAGUCUUUUAAAAAGGCUACGGACAGCUGGACACUCUUUUCAUUCCUUUCUAAUGUUUUGAAUCUAAAUAAUGAAAUUGCCGAUUGUAAUCUUUUUAAUAGUCUAUCUAAAUCCUAAAAUAGGUUGCUUAAAGCUGCAGACUUCGGACCAUCUUGAUUCUUCACUCUAUAAAAUGCGUAGGACGAACUCCUCUUUCGGAGUUUAUUCCUUUAAGUAGUCUCUUCUUUUAAUGCUUCGCCCCUCUCUAUCUCUGCGGACGAGGAUUGCAGAACAAGGCGCGAUAUCAAGAGGAUGAAUUCUAUCCGAAGAGCCGGAGUCAAGCAUGAACAAGGUCCCUCGGGACAGGAGGUUCAAAGAAGAUUUCAUUGUCUUUCCGUCGGCCUGAGUUAGGAGCAAAGAAUAUGGAUCAGACUAUUAAGGAGCGCAAAUCGACUCCUACGCCUAUCUUAAUGAUGACGAAAGACUAUCCAAAACAAAUGUAUGGCAACUCAUAUUGCAUUCAGCCUCCGGACUCCUACGCGGCAACUAACCUACGGCAAGGCGCGGAGCGAAGCGCAUUUAGAAGAGAAAACGAGUCAAGAGGACGGAGCGCAACUCAUAUUGCAUUCAGCCUAGUCCUACGCGGCUGGAUCGAAAGGUUGAGUAAAGCUCAAGCUAGAACGUAGAUAGGCUAUGGAUCGAAGCAGCCAGCGGCCGGGCCGAGUCUCAUGAAGAAGAUUGAGUAUGAGUACGAUAUUCUUUCUUAUGCUAAUUCUGAAAUAAGGGAGAGAUGUCCAAUAAUCUCCGUUGAUCGAGAACGAGAACCAUAUAUGCGCCUCCUAUGAGGCUCCCAGUACGCCGCCUUCCCAGUAUCGUAGGCAGACGAGAGGGCUCCCCGUUUAGGAUGCUACAGAAGUCAAAAGAGGAGAUGACGAGGUAAGCAGUCGCAGUUCAACUUGCCGAAGUUCUUGUCCCCCCAGUAGUGCCUGGUGUUGACGCUGUCGUGGCUUAGUUUAACCCGCUAAGAUCUUCAUGCCUUCGGUACUCCCAUACCGUAAGUGGCUUUAUUUAUCACCAAGUCGAGAUUCAUACUAUACAGAAAAUGGAGAUUCAAGGGAUGAUGGUCCAACUCGCCUCUCUCCAAAGCCCUUUCACCCUAGCUUUUAUCAUUCCUUUUUAGUUAUCUCUCAGAGAUGUUCACUCUUAAAUAGCAGAAAUAGCGGACAAACUGAUCUUGCUGUCUCGCGCAGGAUCUUCCUAUUCUUAGAGUACGGAUUCAAGCGAUCUAGCUACAGAGUAUGAGACUGAUUCCUCUAGCUUCUCCUGUCAAGCAGAAAGAACUCGGGCGAGCUGACUCAUACGAAGAAGAUCAAAGCCUUUCCGCGGAUGACGCCUCUUUACGAGCCGCGCUUCUAUACUUUCUAGUCUUUCAGUUAGAUCGAGCCUGCCGUCCAAGAGGUUCAAAGAAUAUUGACAUAUUUCAUGAAUCAAAAUCAGGCAAUGGAAGGUGCAAAGAAUAUUGCGAAGACCGCUCCAACUAACCUCUGCGGUCAGUCCUUCGGACCUGUCUUAUGGCACCUACGCAGCUUAAUAUGUGAGCGGUAAAAAGGACCUCGGGUCCAGGUGACCGGUCGAGUCAAUGAACAAGGUUCAAAGAAUAUUGAAUGAGACUGGAAAGGCUAGGUUAGAUGAUCCCCAGGACGAGAAUCAAGCUCAAGCAAUAAGUAUUCUCAGUUCCAGGUGUGAGACCUAGAAAACUCGGUCCUAGUUUACUCGGUUGAAUCAGUCAAAGUAUUUCAGAAGUUGAAUGAGAAUCAAGACAAAGCUCGAAAAGUCAAUAUAUCGUUGACGAGUGGGUUGGGGUAUUCAAUAUACUGAGUUGGCUAGGAGAGGGGAAUGAUAGAUUGAGCGAGACCAUUCGCUAGGGAAGACUGAAUUGAAUUCAGCCUUCGUCCGCAAUAAGAAGGCGGAGGCUGGGUCGGCCCACUACGCGGUUGAGUACGAAGGGGAAUUCCCUGCAGAGGUUUCGGAUCUUGGAAUCAGUACGAAGUCUCACCUCUAACUCUUAUCUUGAGAAGGAAAAGGGAGCGGUUAGAAUAGAAUAUAAAGACUGAUAAGGAAGGAGAGAAGACCGGCGGAUCUCUUUCUCUCUUUAGUAAUAGAAUCAAGGAGAAUGAAAAGUCUGAUUUCUCAUUAAUUCUCUUCUCUCUUUCCCGAGUUCUUGAAUGAGAAAGAUCAAGAGUCAUGAGAGUUGUCCGAGCUCCUCUCCCGGAUUGAGUUGCGGACAGGUAACUGAAAUAGAAAUAAGUACUAGCCUCCAGCGCUCACUAGAAAGUAGGGUUCAGAGCGAAGUGACCAUAUCGGUGAGGGCAUUGUCUAAAGUGCUCUUUCAUAUCAUAAGAGUACGAAAAGAAAGGAUCGGGAGAGAGAGAGGUGCCAGGUUCGGUUAAUUACGGAAAGUCCUCCUUCCAUAUGGAUAGUCCUCCGUUUUAGAGUCCUUCCUUCCAUAUGGAUGGUCCUACUUCGGUUAAUUACGGAUGGUCCUACGGAUAAAUCCUGCGGACUCCGGACCCUGGACCUUUGUUUGAUGGAUAAAUACAGGAUCAAGUGCUUUCACCGCUACGCUUCUGCUACUCCGAAAGAAAGGCUCCAGUCCGGAGGACAGGUCCGAAGGCUAGGUUCAUACGGAUAGUCCUCCGGACGGGGGAACCGUAGGCGCAAAGAAUAUUGCGGCUCUUUCCGCUCUCUUUCAUGUUCGGAUAAAUAAAUAGAGGGUAGUUGGUAGUUUACGGCUGUCCGCUACGCUGGAGCUACGGAGAAAGAAAGGAUAAAUAGAAAGUUUCCGCUCCUUCUAGUGGACCUUUAGAGUCCUUCGGACGUCCUCCGGACUAUCCAUAUUAACCUUUGGUCCAGGCGCAGGCGCAAAGAAAGAAGCUCAUUAACGAGAAUGAAAGCAGAAUGAACUCAUUAACGAGAAUGAAAGGCGGUGCUGUAGGCGCUGCAUCCCAAACCUGAAGGCGCACGUUGGCAGGGAAGAUGAGCUACGCAUUGAGAUAGUUUUUCCAAUCGAGCUCAGUACCGUAAAGCCUAGAUUCCCGGAGGGGGCGGACUUAUUGAAAAAGGGGGAAUGAGAGGGAUAUGCUAGUUUUUAUAGGGGGGUAGUGGUCCCUAUAACUGAGCAGUCCCUCAAGCCGAAGACGAUACCUAUAUCCAUACCGCGGAAAACAAGACAUCAGCAGGGGUAGGGUCCAUAGAACAGCCGUCAUGGCUGGAGGUGCCCGACGCCUCUUGGUUUGGAGGGGCUGAGGCCUCUGGGAUCCUCGUCACAAUUUCAAGGACAAUUACAGGAUAACCUGUAGAGAACAGAAAGAAUGAACUUGCGUGCUUCAGAUAGACAGAAGCAAUGACUUCUCCGGCCCCCAUUCGGAGGGGUCUCCGCUGAAGAACAAUGCCAGCGGGGGCCUUUAUGAUGACGGGCUUCUUUCUCUUUCUGAUCUUAUAUUUCGGAGUCGACAUUCUGGCAACUACUUCUGUGAUGUUCCUUCCAUGGAGGAAUUAGAGGUAGCUCUUCGUUCCCUACGGGAGUUUCUGACUGACUGAUUUCUUAUAGUAUAGGGACUCCUGAGGCUGAAGAACCAUUCCAGCGGGGGCCUUUGGGACUAUGAGGCUGAAGAACCAUUCCAGCGGGGGCCCUUAGGACUAUGAUUGAUCUUCGAUUUCGAUUUCUUUAUGAUCGGACGGGGAUAGUAGAUACUGCUAGUGGGACUACCCUCCGGUGCUUUCGGGCAUCGGUCCGGUAGUCAUCCACACGCGCGCAAGGGAGUUCUUUUCCUAUAUCAUACCUUGUUUUCAGUGGGAGGUUCAAAGAAUAUUGACGAGGGGAUUUACUCGCCGUGGAGUGGAUAGGGGCGUGGGGAAAGGAGAGGGAAAGUCUCGAUAAUUAGGUUAGAGGUCGGGGCAUUCAGGCAUCAUUCGGUCAUUGUUCGGAGAGGGGGGGGGACGGUCUAGAGUAAUUGAGUCUUCCACUAAAGGGUAAAGAGCUACAUCCCAAUCCAGAAAGGGGAAAGUCAAGAGUUCCUUGGUUCCAUCCCAAUCCCCAGAGAAAGGGGAAAGAGUUACCUCUGGGAUUCAUGGAUUCAUGGAUGAAGGGGGAAAGGGGAAACCCGGUCCAUCAAAGGGAAAGAGUGGACUCUCUUGAUCCGAUCCAAUGUGCCUGCCUUCUCAUCUCAAUCUCAAGCCGGAAAAGAAAGAACAAGGAAAGGGUCUCUCUUCGGCCGGGCCGCGUGCGGGCCGCCCUUCCACGUCCACUUCUCAUGCCACAGGUACAGGGACGGACGGACCGGAGGGAGAUUCCAGUGACCCAGGUGACCUUCACCGGCUGCUAUACUAAGUUGACUGAGGCUCCGAGGCUCUCACUCCGACUUCCUAAUCAUCCCAUCCUAUUUCAGAAUGAACUCUCCCGACGAACCGCACUCAGAUGGGGCGGCUACUUCUUCUUCCUAAACUGGUGCUACUUCCUAAACAAGGGAAAGAGCCUACUAAACAGUGGCUGGCUGGCGGCUUCCCUCCCUAUGACCCGUGUGGGCGGCCUUCCUUCCUAAACUGCCUUCCUUCCUAAACCCUAAACAGUGGAUAGAGCAUUCCCUCCUAAACAGUAGUCGGAUCGAGAUGGAUGCUCCCGCCGGGAGCCUCUUCCCUCUGACCCGUGGGAUUGACCUGACUUGACUUCCCCUUCUUCCCCUUCUCGUUCUUCCUCUCUUUUCUUUUGGGAGUUUGUCCCGCGUGCACGAGCCCUUUUCUGGGACUUUUUCCAGAGCAUGAUUGGAGGAGCGGAGCUUCUUUCCUUAUUUUCGUUUUCAUCCCUCUAUCUCCUUCAAAGAAAGAUCUUCGUAGAACCUUUUCGAUUCCCUAUUCCGGACUCCUAAAAGACUCAAGAUUCCGAGGAAGAACUAAUCAGGAAGAUAGGAAGAAGAACUCAAAGAGCAGCUCAUGAAAGAGAGAGAGUUGGAUUCAGCCUAUCCCUGGGACAGGGGCGGCUAUCUUGUGCGUGCACUGGAGACCCAAGACCAAGAGGUUGGAAUUUCUUCCUUAUUAGCGGAUUUGAGCUAUCGGGAACUAUACCGCGUAGUGAGGAGGUGACUCGACCCUGUAUGGCUAGCAUUCUCAAGGGGUAGAUCAGCGGGAACCCAACCCCUACUUUCUUGAUCAGGGAGUCUCCAAACCAAAAGGGGAUUCAUUCUGCCUUCCCGAAAUCUUCUUAUUUGACUGCUUGGAUACGAUUUGCCAUCACUCCUGAAACCCAUGAAAAGUGCAGUCUAAUCAAUAUAGAAAGAAUUCUCGCAAUAUUCUUUGCGCCUUCUACGCUCUCCAUGGGCUCGCUUUCUUUGGAUGGACGGAGGAUCAAAGAAAGCCAGAUUGACUGGUCCGAAGGACUAUCCAUCAGGGAGGAGUGGAAGACAGAGCGGGAAGAAUGGAUAUUGUAGACCGCGGGAGGGGGAUGAAAAAGAAAGCUAUGCGAGAGUAGGUAGGGUCGGGAAUGAGCUAUGAGGCAAAUAGCCUCUAACCUACUAACAAGAAAAGCAAGUUCAAAUAAAUGAAAUGGGCCGGACUCAGAAAUCCAUAUUAAUCUGUGGUUUUAGUGGAAUUCAUGAGUUUCGGAGGUUCCGGAGGCCGUCGGACCAAAGAAAAAGAAAGAAUGUCUCAAUAUCCUUUGAGCCUCCGGAGGAGCAAGGAAUAGUAAGGACUUUAUCAAGCUUAACUUCUUUCAACUUCUUUCUUUCUUUGCGCCUUGCUUUCGUUUCAACUGAAAGGCUCCAUUGAUGGGGUACGAGAACAGAAUGAAAGAAAACCGCUCUAGCGGACACUGCAACGGAUAAGGAAAGAGGGACAGCUACCUGAUCUCAUAUUCAACCCUUCUUCAAUCUCAAACUAGGGAAAUCGGCUUAGCUGCCUAUAGGCAUGCUUCUCUCUCCUCGUCAGUCUCAACUUCUUAGUCGUUCACUCUACGGUCUCGUUCUAUCCGCGAUCCUCCUUAUUCUGAAGAGAAAGCUGCAUUCGUAUCUAUUACAAUAGAAUAUAGAAUAAUGUCUUUACUGGAACAAGAACAACCAGGAGGAGUGACUCAUGAAAGAAGACUGAUCAGAAUUCCCGAUCGAACAAGAGAUGACGCAUCUGACAGUCGAGCCUAUCGGAGAAAGGAUGGUGCAUCGCCUAUUUCUCGUUCUCGCUCUCCUAUUCGGCAACUUAUGACUGAAACUUCUGUGAGUCCGCCUCUUUCUUUUCAUUCUGAUUGACGAAAUGGCACAACGGAUCCUGAUACGGGGAAACUUCCUUCUUCCGAUUGAAAGAGAGAGCUUCCUGGGCUGGGCUUUUGACUUCGCCCUCCUGCUGAGACCCUUCAUGCCAGUAUAUAUCUUGCACCUCCGCCCCAAGGAAAGGGGUCUUUGACCACCCGAGGUUGUGGCAUCCGCUCUUUUGUCGAAGUGGCAGCAGAAGUUCAAGGUUUAGCUGCAGCUUUAGUAGAUCGCCUCAUCGCCUAACUCUGCAUUCUUUGACUUUGUGACACCACUCUUUUCUUUCUAAGAGGUGGAAUAGGUUCUUUGAAAGAAUAAAGCUCCAGAUGAGGCGCAAUGAAAUAUGCGAGGUCGCAAGUCAAAUUCUCUAAUGGAUAGGCCUUGCGACGGAGCAGACCGCUUUCAUGAAAUAUUCUUUGAACCCGCGGGAGAAGAUUCAUUAAUAGAAGGGUAGGCUCGUGGCUGGGGAAAAUAGGAUGAAUGAAAUAUGAGAGAGUGAGGGUCAAUAUUGACCUUUGGAGAAGUUGAGGAAUGCAUUCUCAGUUAUAGGGCUCGAACAGAGGGACGAAUCGCCCAUUCCCUAACUUCUUUUCCGUAGGUUGUCCAAGAUUCAAUCAAAGGAGAGAGAGAGUUUACUUAGUGAGGUUGAGGGACACGCGUCUCAAGCCAUAGAUCACCCGUGUGAAGAGGGAGAGUAAUCAGCCUCAGCUUGCGAAUAGGAUGAAUUAGGCGCUGGACGCUGAAGGGCGCUGUUCUUGAAACCUUUCUGUCUUUUUAGCCCACGGUUUUUUUGACUUGACUAUUAUUUACUCUGCGGUUGGGUUGAGAAAUUGAGUAUAUGAGUGAAUAGACUUUGAGUCUGAGAUCGAUCGUAUGUAUCGCGCGUCAUCGUCUCACGCCUGAAUCCGGGGAUGAAUGAAAAUAGAGUUCAAGGUCAAAAUGCCAUAAGGCAAAUUGCUCAAGGGGAACUGAAACUUGAUUAUUCCUCUUCGAGUCUAGGCUUUCUUUUAGGAGCCUCUAAAUAGUAGGAAAGUUCAGUCAGGAGACCUCGGUGUGAGCCACUUUAGAAGUUGGAUAGAAUCUGAAAAAAGAAGGAAGAACCGAAAGCGAAGCGACUGAUCGAUGAACAUCCAUAAAUAAAUAGGCAGAAUUUGAGAAGCGAAGGUUCAGCUUCAUUCAGACGACCUAUCCUCGAUUAGGAGGUUCAAAGAAUUUGAGAAGAAUUUGAGGACUCCCAAAGAGAACUCCCCAAGACCAGCAUUCUUGGAUCUCUCAUAAGGCCCACGUAGCGGGAAAGGCGCCUCAAUCCAAUCACUCUAUGGAGGCAAGCACGCUGCGAGAGCCAAGCCAGUCUCCCCUUUCAUUUCUUGCUCCAGGAAUGCUCGAAAGGGAAGUUGCCGAUCUUCCUCCUCUUUCUUCAGUUCUAGGUCUUGUAGCCCACUCUGCGGUCGUUCUACCAGUGCUGCUUGCCCUUUCAGUUCUUCUUUCUGUGUCGGAUGCCUCAUCUCUUGACCAAGGCCCCUAAUAACGAGAUUGACUGGUCAGUUAGAUACUCCUUUCUAUAAUAGACUUCUUCCACCUUCCCCUUAUUCAUUGAUUCGUUAACGAAGGCAAAAGGCUCGACUAAAGCAGAAUCCGUACCAGGGAAGUCCCAUCCGAUUAGUGGAAUCGGGAUCAGUUCUUCGUGAGAUCGUCGUAGGCCUUCUCUAUUUCUCUUUUCACCCAAGCAGAAUGACCGAGGGUAGCAGCAGCUGAGUGAACACGAGGCCAUUCUACGGAGAGAAUGAGAAUUCCUUCUUUGGUCCUGGAUUCUUCUUUCUCUAUUUCCCGUAAGACCAAAAUGCAAUGAAUAGAAAGGUUAAUAUGGAUAUAAGUUAAGCUUGUAGAUUUCAGACUCCUGAGGACGGGUCUCAUCACCCCAUUAAAAGUCCACUAAUAUUAACUUCCUUUUUCUCUCAACAAUAUCCCGCACCUCGUUUUUGGAAAAUAUGAUUCAUACUUGCACUCAUUCCGAUAAUUCUUUGAGCCCUCCCCCAGUGCAAAGAAUAUUGCGAAGACCGCUCCGAAGGAGUCUUAUGAAACCUGGACCCUUCUUUUUAAAGAAGAAGGACUAUCCAUUAGAAGGGCCUCAGUCCUAUCCAUAUUAACCUAGCAUCUGGACCCCUUAUAAUUGGGCCACGAUCUUUGCGCCUCCUUCGGAGUGAUCCUUUCGCUCAAUAUCCUUUGAGCCUAACGUCUGCAAUCAGUCUUUAAUAGAAUUAUGACUUCGCAAUAUUCUUUGCGGAAGAUUUUCUCUCCGCAAUAUUCCCUAAUGGAUAGUCCUUCGGACCUGUCUCGCAAUAUCCUUUGCGCCUCGCAAUAUGCGCCUCUUUUAUCCAAAAUAUUAGUUCCAUUAACAAGUCAUCUAGCCCUUUGUUUUUGGGGUAGAGUCCUUCGCUCUUUAGUUCCCGCAAUAUUCUCCUUCUACGCGGUUCAAAGAAGAUUUCAGUCCGGAGGCUCCAUAAGACAGGGAUAUUGUAAGGACAUUCUUUCUUUUUGAAAAAGAAGAGAAAAGAACUCCGUAGGAGCGGUCCAAAAUAGAAGUCCUUAUCUCUCUAGUAAUGCUGAAGUUUCUUCCUUUACCGCGGAGUGGGCUUCCUUUAAUUUAAGUAGGUUUCUUUGACCCGACCUCUUCUUUUGAAGCCUUUUGACUACCGGUACCGGCAUUUUACUCUCAGGAGGUUUUGCCAGGGUUUGACUCGAGCUAGAUUCCGAUCCUAAACCUCUCCUUAUUUCAUUCCUCUCCUCAAGCGAGUCGAGCUACUUUCUUUCUAAAAAAGAGCUACUUUAUGCAUUAUUCAUUCGGUCGCUACUUCUGACUCCGGUACUCCGGUCGAGCCACUUCGCCCCGAUACUCUACUCUGACUCUACCCUAUUGAACCGAAGGAGUUGGUUGGAGAUCCGCACCCUCCAUUUCGACUAUCUUACCUAUAGUUCAAACCGCCUCAAUGAACAAGGGGGAAUUUCUUAUGAGAACUGGAAGUCUCGUCAAUAUUCUUUGAACCUUCGUCUCGUCUUGCAUUUCAACCUCUUCUUAUGAGAAGACGGUCACGCUCUUUCGAUCUUCUGGUAGUCUAUAUUGAAUAACCUAUGAGCCGCAUCUUAUCUUAGCAGCUAACCCACGGAGCGGUAUCUCGGGCCUAGCUUAAUAAUAGGAAUCACUCAUAUUGCAUUGAGCCUAAUUAUAAGGGGUCCAGGUGACUAUCCAUUAGAACUUUGAACCUUCGGACCGGUCUAAUUCCGAAAGAUCUAAAUCAGGUCUAUCUCAGUAACCCUUCAGCCUCAGCACAACUAAGCAAGAAGAACAAGCGGGAACAAGGACGGCAACCUCAACAGCGGGCGGAGCCGCAACCCGACCCGGGACAAGAUCUGAGGCUAGAUCUACCUCGUAACCCCUUCCGAUUCCUUCUUCUUUGAGUUGACUGAGAAUACCGCUUUGAAAGCCACGGAUCUAGUAGCGGGACUGAUUCCAUUCCCUUGCAUACGUCUUCCUCUUGUUGGACAGCUACUUUCUUCCUGGGCGCCUACUAAGAUCAGGUUGAAUCAGAGCCCAUAAUAUAAGGAUAGGAGGUAAAGGAAGAAAGAGAAAGCAAUCGCCGACCGCUCCGAAGGAGUCUUACCAGUCCUGAUCCUGAAAUUUGAAUAACCCGCACCUGCCUCAAAUUCUCAAUAUGAAAAUAGUGGACUUGAAUGGGGUGAUGAGACCCUUCCCUUCGGACGGAGUGAAAAGAAAGUGAAAUAUUCUUUCGAUCAUUCUUUGAGCGAGCUAUAGAAGGCGCAAUGCAAUUAUAAGGGAUCCAGAUGAGGAGCAAAGAUCAUUGAUAAGGAAGAUUAGAAGCAAAAGUUCGGUUCUUCAUCCUGCUCAGAUUUUCGGUGAAUCUUUGCUACGUGGGAACUAGAACCGCGGAAGAAAAACAAGGGUCUAUAUGAACUAUCCGUCCGAAGGCGCAAAGAAUAUUGCGGAGUAAAUAGUGGUCCUCCGGACUACAGGUUAAUAUGGAAAGUCCUUGCACUCCUUUCUUCUUUUCUUAGAUAAAUGCGCUUCGUAGAUUAUGCUGAAGGAGGAGGACCCAUCAAAAGUGAAUAUGGUAGAUUUCAGAGUCCCGCAACAAGAGUAAUUUAGUUGGACUUCUUCAUCUCAAAUACUUUGAGCCUUUGUUUUCUAAGUCAAAGAUGGAACUAGAAGAAUAUUGACGAAUGUUCAAAGUCCGGAGGACCUCUUUGAUCCACUAAGUCAAAGGAUGAAAGUCUAAAAAGAAGAAAAGAGAACUACUCCGCGGAGGUCCGGAGGACUCAUUCAUUCCACUCAAACUUAUGGCCUACGUAGUCGUCCUACGUAGCUUAAUAUACUUCCGACUAUCCGAUGAUGAAAGUGGAAUAAAGAAAGCCUAUCCAACAACAAGAAACUUCAGGAUUCAAGGAAGAUAGGCUUGAUGAUAAAUAGUAGAAUAAGAGGAUAUAAGAAGGUUCAAGGCAUAGGAAGAAGAAGAAGAAAGCCCACCUUCCAAUUAGUGGGCUUACUAGUAAUGCUGAAGUUUCCGCGGAGCUUCUUUGCGGAGCCAUAGGCUAAUAGUCCUUUUUUUAGGUUCUGGAUAGGCUUUCGUAUUUAUUUUAGGCUAAGAUGAUCAUUCUUCAUUCUUCGACAUGACUUCGGAAACAGAAAAACAAAAGAAAGGGCCAAAAGUUACUAAAUUUCAGAUUCUCGUAUUACUGAUGAAGAAAUGUCUAUAUUCUCCAUUAUAUACUCUAUUCUGAUAGUUUGAAGCUAGUUCCGAGAUCUUCUUGUUCUCAAGAGGUUUGUACUAACCAUACGUUUACCAGCCUUAAUAAAGUAAAGGCUUCUUGGGGCCUUCGAAAGAUGAGAACUCAAAGAUCGAGAUAGAAAGCUUAAAGAACUACCAUGAUAGCUUGAACUUUCUGUCUUCCUUCUUCUUCGACAAAGCUUUUUGAUACUCUGCCUAUCCCAGAAAUAUGAAGGAUGCCUUGCUUCGCGGGCGCCUAUAUAAGGGCCACUCGGGGCCUCGCUCUAUUGGGCGCUGGGUUUUCGAAUCAAAACCUUCUGAGAGAUAGACAAAGCUUAAACUACCGAUAUUAUGACUCUGACUUCGUUAUAUCGAUGAGAAUGAGUUCCGCUCUUCGAGCCCUCAUCUUCCGCCUUUGUUUUUCUUCUAUCUCGUUCGUAAACUUCUUUAUUUCACGACUCAAUGUAAUUGUAAUUGAUCCGAUCUCCUAGGAGAAAGUUCAGUCAGGUUUAAGAAGAGGAAGGAAUAAUAGUAUUCAUGUUUUCAUAGAAAGGAAUAAAAGGUCAAUGGAAGUCCUCCUCCGGAGCCUACUACGUCCUUACUAAUAAUGCUGAAGGUUCCUCCGGACGGGAAAGUUACCCCUUGUUCAUUGAGGCCCAGUCCGAAUGGAAGAAAAAGUCAAAAGUCUAUCCGCUACUUUCAUCCGUCCGAAGUCCUCCGGACUAUCCAUUAGGUCCAUUGAAUUUAGCGGUCGGACGGGUCACCUGGACCCUUGUUUAUCCACAGGUUAAUAUGGAUAGUCCUCCGGACGGACCAAAAAAUACAUCAAAAUAGAAGUUGCGCUUUCUUCUUAGUAGGUUUAAAGUGCAAGCGGUGUCAAAUCAAAUCAUCAUACUAUUUGACUCUCUUUCACAGAUAUUCUUCUUUACAGGUACAAUCAAUACAUUAUAGGUAAUAGCUUUCUCUCUUUUUCUACUACGGUCGAGCAGCGGAUGCGAGUCAAAUCAAAUGAGAAGGCGAAGAUUAGAGCUCAAUUACGGAUAACCUCUUCCGAGACGGAAACUCUGAUUGCACUUGUUUUCAUUUCUUUGACGGGGGAGCCUCUGUUUUGACUCAUGAAGUGACUCAAGCGGACCUCUCAGAAAACCGUACUUUUGUUUUCGCGCUUUAGGGGCUAGUCCCAUUCUGAUCAUACUCACACGGAUUCUUGCACGGGGCCGAGUGUUGGGGACUUUGUCGUCUACGAGCGGGUAUUCUAUCUAGGUCUCGCUAUUUCAUCCAUUCCUUCUCGUUCGUAACCUAGGAGUGGGUCUCGCUUUUGAUCUCGACUUCGUGAACUACGUCUCCUCAAUUACGCCUAGCCUUCUCGUGAGAACAAUUACAGACUCAUUAAGUGAGAAUGAAAAUCAAAGAAGAAUAGGAAUAGUUUGAAACUGAAUCAAAACCUACUGAAAGAUCGAAUGAGCACUGUGAAAGUAUGACUCUUGCUUCUUUUUGCAGUCUUUCUUCGGAGUGAUAGUACUUUGGUAGAUAGAAAAUGGAAAGUCUAACUUGAAGCUCUUCUUCUUUCCUUUCCUCUGCCAGACGUUUACCAGCCGACUACAAGGCUCUUCCCUACACGAGAUGAAGAACAAGUCAGCAGAAAGAGCUAGAACUACCAGUUCAGAACUGAUGAUUUUUCUCAAUGAAAUAGAUCAUGAAACUGCUCUUUUUGAGUCCUCCUUUGGACUUCUCCUUUCUCGUCUUAUUCCUUGCCGCUCCUCCGCAAUAUUCUUUGCACCUCUCUCGUCUUCUUCCGUCCUUUUGAUAGGCUUUCCUGAAAUGACUGAACUUUCUAUUCAUGUUCCUGCUUUAUCCCCCCUAUCUUUUAUGGCGGUUCCACUUUCUAUUUGGCUUAGGAGAAUCCUUGAUCCGGCUAGCGAGAUGGGAUGAUUGACCUUCUGAUGUCCCCUGUUGCAGGAGUCUAAGCAGGAGAAUGAAGAUCUUGCCGCUUUUGAGACAGGCUCGGGUCAGAGGUCAGAACAAGAGGAAGAGACCGCUCAUACGAGUCUGAGGCAGGCAGCUAAAUCCCACCAGCGGCUGAUUUCUUCAUUUUCUCUCUCUAUCUUGCAGGGACUAGGGAAGAAUCUAAGGCUCUUUAUCAUUUGAUUGAGACUAAAGGGGUCGGCAGAUGAGAUGCCCUUGUUCAUUGAGGCGGUUAUGGAGGAAGUUGCAGUUGGUCUUGCAACUAGAUCGAUCGCUCGGUAAGCACCGCGUAGGAAAGGCCAAGGAAAGACGAAAGGAGCCCUUGGGAAAGGAAAGUUGGAGUCAAACCGCUCUAGGAGAGAAAGUCAGUCGCAGAGGUUGUGCCAUCCUCUUGUUCUUCGCUCUAGUUCUUCUUGUUGAAGCUUUCCUUUCAGACUCUUCGCCUCGUCCGUUGUAUGCUCUUGCAACUGGAUUGAUUUAGUAGACAUUGGCCAGAGUUUUUCUCUGGGGAAGGCAUGGGAAAGAAAAUCAGUGUCUCCUCUGGUUAUAGAACCUUCGAUCAAUCAACAAAAUAAAAGGAAGCAGAUGAGGUCUUGCGUCUUUUCCCAAAGUCAUUAAUCAAAAAAGCAGAUCGAAUCUUUAUACAAAUUGAAUACAAAUUUGAGACUCUUCUUCAUGAUACUCAACCCCCAAAAAGUGAUUCGCCGACUUUAGCUCGCCUAAGCCUGGUUAAUAGAGCAUUGUCGGCGAAUCCGUACUUCUACUCCUUUUUUCAAGAUUGAACUAGGAAAGAAAGAACAAGUCUGUGUUAAGCUUAAGCAGGAGGUGCAAAGAAUAUUUCGUGGAAGAGGAAGGAAAGAAAGAAAGGUAUACAUUACAAGAAGAGAGAAGAGGAAGGAAAGCCUACUUAAACCUACUAUCAAUGAACCGCAAUAUUCUUUGCGCCUCCCAGUCUCCUAAUGGAUAGUCCUACUUCGGUUAAUUACGGAUGGUCCUACGGAUAAAUCCUCCGGACUCCUUCCCUCCAUAUGGAUGGUCCUACGGAUAAAUCCUCCGGACUCCGGAUAAAUCCUGCGGACUGCGGACUCCGGACGUAGGACCUGUCUUUAUCAGGAGCGUAGCGAACAGCCGUCAACUACUUGAUAGUUAUCCUAUCUUUCUCCUACGCGGAAUCCAGAAUAGACCUCUCUUUCUCCGGAAAAGAAACUCAAACAAGAAUCAAACUAUGUGAAUUUCUUAUCCCUUUCCUAGGAGUUCUUCUUUCAUUGCGUUUUCCCGGCUUUUUUGCUUCUAAAUAGGACUUUUUCUCAUAUUUCUAUUUCACGAAAAUAGAUCAAAAAUGACUGAUUUUUCAUGAUUUCUUUCUACUAUUUCUUUUCAGCUCUCCUUAUCAGUCGAGCCCAAAACCUAGCAUUUCCCUCCGCGGAUUCAUCUGAAAUCUAGCAGAUUCAUAAUGAUUCUUUCAUUCGAGUUAUGAAAUCAUAAUGAUUCUUUCAUUAUCGUUAAUGAGCUUCUUUCAUUAUCGUUAAUGAGCUUCUUUCAUUAUCGUUAAUGAGCUUCUUUCAUUAUCGUUAAUGAGUGAAUUCUGCUUUUCUUGACUUUUGUGCCAGUCCGAAGGACUAUCCAUAUUCUAUUCUUUGCGCAUCUGCGUCCUUCUUUUUCGCAACGCAUAUUGAAUUGCGCCUUUUAUCUCUUUCUUCUUAAUAGACCAAAUCGAUGAAAUAGACCAAAUCGAUGAAAAGAAGGAGAAUUUGUCGGAAAUGGCCGGGAUAGCUCAGUUGGUAGAGCAGAGGACUGAAAAUCCUCGUGUCACCAGUUCAAAUCUGGUUUUCUCGGCACAUCAUGAAUUUGUAUGAGUAUCUAUUCUACGGAUUCAUUAAUAAUAUAGAUCAUUCAAGGAUACAUCAUCUUUGACCCUCAAGACUCAACAAUAUCCCCCAACUACGUUGCCUCAGUCGCAGCAAACAAAAAGAAAGCGGAAAUCCCCUAAUGGAUAGUCCUUCGGACCUGUCUUAUGGCGCCUGAUUUUUCUUCUUCGGGCCUUCGUAGCUUAAUAAUGCCCACGGAGCGGGAGGGGUCACUUAUCGGUAUUUCUACUCCAAAUAAAGGAUAGUAUUUCAGGCAGGGAUUCGUCAGAAUCCGCUCAUAGUCGGCCGAAAAUGCAAGCACAUAAAAGAAAGCGGAAAUCUGAGCAAUAUUCUUAGCGCCUUGUCCAAGUCCUCUAAGUUGGAGUAGAACCUUAAGGCCAUUACGCGCUUCCCCCAGGGCCUUUCGUCGGUGGUGAAGGUAGAUGGAAUACGGUUGCCCAUCAAUGGGAACAUUCGCCUUUUUUAGAAAAGUCCGUUCAUACUUCCCAUCCAACCUGCACUCCUGCCCAUCCAGUAGGGUUAGUAGGGUCUAGCUCCCCAACUUCAGAAUCGUAUUGGUUCUGGUUCUUGUCCUCCAUUCACUCAUCGAGGACCCAGAGGUCAAAGUAGUCAUGGGCUCCAGAGUAGUCGUUCCUCCUUUGUCCCUAGGCUUGAUCUUCUUCUUGCCUCAAACCCCCCUUUUUCAACAGACUCAUUAGAAGCGUCUUUUGUGUACUCGGGGGGCCGUAGACAAAGAGCUGUCUGCUUUUUAUGGGCCGCUCGAAGACAAGGUUGGUUGCGAUCCAAUCCAGCAGGAGGUACUUCUCCUGCAAUUCCUCUGCAGUGUACUCGUGGGGCCACCCUCUCUCCUCGAGAAAGGUUACCAUUUUCGAAUAUGGGGACGCCUCCUGCAGCUUCAGGCGCUGUGAAUCUUCCCAAAGGUUGAUCACAGUAUUGUAUUUGGUCAAGAGCAGAUCCGCUAGCUCGCUUUCACGAGGCAGGAAGUUUUCACAAGCAUCUAUCUUUCGUAAAAUCCUCUUUGUACGCUCGCGCUUGUACACCAUGCUAAUAAGGGUCCCCUUCCUGUGGUUUGCCACAGCUUCGGCUUCCAUGAGUAUCUCCUCAGAACUUUGCAUAAGGUUUCUUGUCUUGCUUUAUGACAUAGACACAUAGGCUACCCCAAGCCUUAUUCAAGGACACCUUGCAUUGUCUUCCCUCCCUGGAAGGCUUCCCUUAUUCUAUUUGUUGCCUUGUUCUUUGAUGCAUUCUCGUUCUGAAUGGCAAUAUGAGAAUUUCCUCGUCCUUCUGCCUUUCCUCCGCAAUCACUAUAGAAGUGCAUCGGACAUAAUAUCUAAGCCCUCACCCGACUUUCCAUUUCCUCCUUCUUUAUGUCCUUUCUUUUACUGGGACAGAGUGAUAAGAAUGAACCUUCUUAGUUGACUCGACGAAGGUCCUAAUGCUUUCCCACUAGUGCUAGUAUCGGUCAUACGCUUAAUCUUAAGAUUUCAGAAAAAGAAAUGAAAAUGAUAAGAUAAGCCAAACUCGGAAAUCAGAGUCCUCCUUCUUCUCUUUUCUUUGGUACUGGUGUGCCCCGUAAGGGCACGCUCGGCUCGGUCUCUUUCUGGAGUGGAGAGGGAAUACUUCCAGCAUCUAGCAUCAUCGAGUUUCUCUCUCUUUUACAAUCAAACUAGAUAAGGCCCUCGGCAAGUCCUAGCUCCCCCGAGGAAGUCAACCAAAUUCCAUAUUCUAACCCAGAAAAAUGGGACUCAAUGGGUAGCAAUUGUCCUUAACCCAGGAGUAUUAAGACCGGAGCGGUAUGAUUUGAAUCAGUACGAGAAGAAAGUCAAUGAACAAGGCUCAAAGUCGCAUAUUUCAUUGCGCCGGAGGACCACUUCGGUGUCCAAGCUUGCGGCACCGGUAUGCAGCCCUCUCACUUGCCUUAGUUUCUAGUUCAAAGAGAGUUCUACGCCCUCGCGUGCAGCCUUCUCGUCUUCAGCAUUGAAUAGAAAUAUUAAGGGUGCCUCAUGCGAUAGGCUGGAUUCAAUUUCGUUGCCAAAAGGCCUUGAACGAGGAAUCAUGGGAUAUGUCUGAUUUCGACCAGGAAAUAGAGAAAUCGGCCUUACCAUGAUAUUCAAGACCAUUUUUCUAGAGCUCAACCGGAACUAGAAGACGAAGAAGCCACGGUCCCCCACUGGGAUACUUCUUUGAUGUACCAAAAACCCUUGUUAAGGCCUCGCUCGAUUCGCACUUUCAACCCAACUCCCUCUUUUUUUUAUGAGUCCUAGCAGAGGACAGAUUCUGCGCUUGAUCUUUGCACGUCGACAGCUUAUCCCACCUCAUUUGGAGUUUGGCUCCUGGAUAGCUACUUGGUCUCGGUAAGACGGGAAGGUAUUUGUACGAAACCCUUGUCUGAAACAUAUGCAAACCUCUCUUUAUCUACCUUGCCCACUACGCGGUAAGGGAAAUUCAGAGAAGAAGACAAAGAGAUCUGAGUCACAACUGCUCAAGUAAUAUUGGUUCUCUUUUGCUUUCUCAAAAGGGCUCUCAUCCGUCUAUCCCCUGCGCUCUCUGACUCUGAUUUGGAAUACUCUUUCAAUAGGAUAAAAAGUCAUGAAAUUAGGUUCAAAGAAGAUUUGCGCUCUGGUGCGAAGCCCACCGCUACAGGAGGACCUCUUUCAUCCCUUGAAGUUCCCGAAUUACUUACGAGGUCAAAUCUCUUUUUCUUAGGGGUGGUUUCAGUGGGGGGAGAUCAAAAUCACUGUAUUUUCACGAAUCCGCGAUCCCUAGAUCCGAUCGAUCGAAGCACGGAUUCAAGCUCUCUAUAUAAAUCUAGAAUAUAGACGAUAAGACGAUUCGGUCCUUUUGACUCGUUCAUUCCAUAUUACGGCGAUUCCCCGCAUUACUAGAUUCAAGGCACCAAGGCUCAAAGAAUGAUCGAAGAAUGAACUCAUUAACGAGAAAAGUCAAAGAGAAGGUUUGAAUCUGAUACGAGAAUCACCUUGAUAAAGAGGUUUGAUUCUACGAAAGAUUACUGACUAUAAACAGGAGACCAAUCACAUUUGAGCUACUCUAUCCCGUAGAAAGAUCACUGAAAAGAACCUUGAAAGAGAGAAUCACCUUUUAGGUUUGAAUCUGAUACAAGGAAAGGGAAAGAUUACAGACUAUAAACAGAAUCUAAGGUUUCAUUCUCAAUUUCACUCUAUAACGAUAAAAGAGUCAAUCAAAUGGAAGAGAACUAAGAAGAAUAUAAGGUUUCAUUCUCAAUUUCACUCUAUAACUAGGGAAAGAGAAAAGAUAGGAUAAGAAAGAAAGAAAAUCCUCUGGAUUACCAGCUCCCCCCGUGAUGAUUGGUUCGAUCCUAAGCGAAAGGUUUACCGCUAGGCGAACUAGCAUCAGGCCGUAAGCCUUGGUAAGCUAAGGGGGAGCCUUCUAAAAAAAGAAUUAGAAGAUAGUUACCGAAAAAAGGAAAGUGAAGUAGAUUGAAUGACCUGAAAGACAGCUACCUGGUCUCACUUAACGAAGGGGAGGAAUGAAUGGAGUGAGGAGUAUGCACGGAUUUAUUGACCUACUAGCAGGACUGGCUGGCCCAACGUAAUAGAAUAGAAGUCCUUCUCCCUUCCAACCAGUACACAUUCCCUGACGGGAAUACAUGGUCUAAACCUAGGCUCUCAACCCUCGGCCCUCAACCCAAUACUCACUCUCCCGAUUGACUAAGACACCCCCCCUGGAGAAUAUGGUGUAGGUGGAAUAGGCGGACAUAGAAUACGGGCACAUACUCUGACCCCUCCUUGAAGUAGGAAUUCGACCAAGGCAAGGCUAUCCGGGAUGCUAAACCAUGUGUACUGCAGCCCCCAUCCAAGGACCAAUUUCUUAUUACGUUGGAAUGCAAAAAGAAAGAAGUCUGGGGCGGAUCCCCUUUUGACUUUUCGAGUUCGGUCUUAUUAGUAAGGCAAGCCAAUUCUUUCUAGUCCCUUGCCCAGCUGGCCGAGCUACCAUGCCUUCUCCUUGAGAGAUGGAGAUUGUUCCCACUCUGGUCUAAAAAAAAAAGACUACUAUAGAGUGAGUCUACAGAAAUCUCUUAUAAACUGUACUAGUGAUAUAUUUCAUUCAAGAGAGGAGGAUAGCAAGGCAUCCUUAGGACUCCUACCCGUUGAGAGACCUAUGUGAUCUUCUUGGGUCGCUUCACUCUGUCCUAUUGAGGGAAAAUCCUAUUAUCUUCUCUUUAGUACCAGUCCAGUCCGCUUUAGAAAGUCACCGAUGACUGAAAUCUAUCAAUACUGCACAAAGACUAAGAUUUUUCUUUCAUAAACCAAGAGCCAGAGCAGGUUUCCCAUCCCACUACCCGUGCUGCUACCUUCAACCGGCCAGAUCUACUGAAUCAACAGAGUCGACUAGAUCGAGAUCAUAAUCAGAGAAUUGACUCUGAAUCCCUAUCACGAUCACCAAAUUCAAGAUAAUUUCCAUGGUCCAACUUAGAUAAGAAGGACUAUUUCAUGAUGCCCAUCACCCUUUGGUGGCUGGCCCGUCGGUCCUAAUCUCCUUCCCACAUAUUAAGCUGCGAACAUUCUAAUGGCGCAAAGAGCGGAACCGAAAAUCUCUCAAUUCAUUCAGCCUUCUCCUUAAUAUUAGGAGCAGCAGCAAAAAGAAAGGUCUAGAUUUUCUGACUCAUCUGGACUUGAGAAAACCAAAAUCAUAGUAUGAAUCUUUGAAUAGACCUUCCGCGGUUUAAGACUCCUUUCCUUUAAGUUAGGCUCAAUGAAAUUUGAGUCAAGAUGCGCCAUAAGACAGGCGCAAAGAAUAUUGACGAAAAGAAAAUCAGAAUGAACUCAUUAACGAGAAUGAAAGAAGCUAAAAAUGAAUCUGCUAGAUUUCAGACGGAGUGAAUUCCUAGGUUUUGCCCAUAGGGAAGUAGCAAGAAAAGACAAAAAAUCAGUCAUUUUUAGACAAUUAUCGUCAAAUAUCAAGAUUAACAAAAGUCACAUUUAGAAGCAAAAAAGCCGGGAAAUUGCAAUUCAAGAAGAACUCCUAUCCCAGAAAUUCACAUAGUUUGAUUCUUGUUUGAGUUUAUGGUCCGGAGAAAGAGAGGUAUAUUCUUUAUUUCCCUCCACGAAGGACUAGUCUGAAAUCUAGCUCUUCAAUCUAGCAGAUUCAUAAUGAUUCUUUCAUUCUCGUUAUUCAAUCAGAAUUCUUCUUUCAUUCUCGUUAAUGAGUUCAUUCUUCUUUUCUUGACUUUUGUGCCAGUCCGAAGGACUAUCCAUCAGGGAGAAGCGAAGCGCAUUCAAAUUCUUUUCACCUCCAGAAGAAGGCUCAGAAGGGCCUCCGUAGUCCGCUCCCUUUCGUCCAAUGUCUGUGAUCAAGUAAUACCAGAUUGGUAUUCACGGGUCGAGUUGCCCUCUCUCUUGGUCUGCCCUGUGCUAGCCGAGGCAGGAAGCUAGUCAAGGCAUUUAUCCGCCAGCUUCAAGCGAAAGAAGAAGAUCGAAAUCUAGAAAGAAAGCGGAUUCGCCUUCGUUACUGAAGACCUUGUGAUUGGCUUUUGGACAGAACCGAUGCUCAUCAAUUAGCUAUGUUCGCAACAUCUUCUUUCUCACAGCCUGCUUACUGAGGAAAGCCUGGUUGGUCCUACUAUUUUUUCUAGGGAUCACUAACAAGAGAAAGAAGGCAUCUUGGCUGAAUUUGGGGAGUGAGGCAUGGGAAUACGCUCUUUCAUGCCCUAUCAAAAAAGAUCAAGAAAUUCAUAAACUAUAUUUUUCAAAUAGCUAUUCAAGCCUUUCCUCCUGAAUUUGUCUUUCAGGAUAGGGUCCUUCUUAUCUGCCCAGUACUCGCAACCUAGGACCGCUAGAAAAGCCCAAGGAAGCUAGGUGGCAAGCUUUUCUACGUGAAUCACUAGUAGAAAGAAGAUAGAUCCACACCAUAAAUUGAGUAGGAAGAGUCUUCUGCCACAUCUGAACUUGACUGAAAGCAGGAAGUAGACCAGCCGAGCCGUCUUCAGCCUUUCUGAGUAGGAAGUGAGCUUCAAUAUUCUUUUCACCUCUUGCUUUCUUCUUUGCUUGACUUCUAGACAUUAGCAAGAAAGAAGUUGAUCCUAUCAAUCUCGAUUCAAAAGCAACUACUUCCCUACAUCCAUCCAUCCCGGCUUUCAAGCAUUGAAGGAUUCCUGCCCUCUUGUACCGCUACGUGGGUGACUCAUUAUGUAAACAAGACCUUUUUUUUCUACUUUUUCAGGUGUCGAGCCUCAAAUUCUUUGACCAUCAGACGGCUCUUUCCGUAACUCCUCCCCCGAGAACUGAAUACCCAUUGACUUUGAGCUUUGUCUUUCUUCUGAGUGAGAAUAGUACUUAUUCUUUACAGAGAAUUCUAACUCUUCCGAAAGAGCACCUAUGAAACUUAGCCCGAUUCCUAUUGCUUCUGAGAAUCGUACUGAUCCUACUUCUUCCCUUGGAAACUGGGACUGAUUGAAUACCGCCUCAAUUCCCCAUUACGCGCUUUUGGCCCUAGGCGAGAUGGAAGAAUGAUCUGUCUUUUUAGUCUCUUUGACUAAAGCUCUCCCAAAUAGGACGAAAGGUGGUAACAACCUUGUCUCGACGACGGAACCUUGUCUCGUGGAAGUUGAUGACUGAAAUCGGCAGCUCGACCUGAUUGGGCCUAAACUAAAGAAGGAGAUCUUUCGUAAGCGAGAUCGGCAGAUGCCCACGUAGCGCUUUCAUGGGCCCCCGAGCGGUAGGACGAACUCCUAAUUCUCUCUUGAUCAAGGGAAGAUGAAGAAUGCAGACGACUCGCCCGCUUAUUUCAAUACAAGUAGGACGAGACUACCCCUCCUGUCUCCACUAAAAAGUCCGGCUACUCUCAUGUAGAGUGGAAAGGCAGGGAGCGGGCAUCCGACCUCGUCUAUAUAUAGAUGAUCGGUGAUCAGCUUCACACACCUCUGAAUAAGGAAGGACACCUUUGACAGUAUCGUCCGACCCGGGAAUGAUCCGGUACAUUAAGAAAAUAUAAGGAGUGCUCCCAGAGAGUGAGCCCUUGACUCUCCUUGAUUCCCUUUAUACUGGACGGUGACCUAUCCCACCUCGCAGGGCACUACAGGCUCUAUUUGGCAUUGAGAAGAGUGAAAGAGAUAGAUUAAGCUGAAACUACCGCUACGUGGGACGAGAACUCUUUGAAUAAGUAAUUCUGAGUUAGGAUAUUCCAGAUAUAUAUGCAAAAAUGGAGUGGAGAUCACUGGGACCUCUUCGGAUCCCUACAUACUUCUUCUAGCUUUGGUUUCAGGGACGGAUUCCUUUACUGGGGAGCUAGCCUAUAAAACUGAACCCUCUCCUCUGAUCGAAGAGUUGCGUGGAUGGAUCGCUGUGAUAAGACUGAAAAUCACCGUAAAAAAGAGACUAAAAGGACAUAUGUAAAUUCAGAAAUCCGCCCUUUCAGAUCUCACCAUGGAUGAAACCCUCCUUUGCAAGACACUCAGGAAAGAAAAAAGUCUAAUUCGUCCGAGGCCUAGCCGAAAUCAAAGACAAGAAUCAGUUAAUAUGGAUAAAGAAGAUUGAGUUCCCUCAAAUUCUUUGAGCCUUCGUCUGUAGCUUUAAGCAACCUACGGCAAGGCGCGAAGCGAAGAAGGAAGACAAAGAAAAGACAACUCAAGAGGCGCAAAGAGCGAGGAGCAAAGAAUAUUUUCGUAGCCAAAAGGGCAGAGCUUGGGGAUAACUGACUCGAUCAGCAUUUUUCCGUAUUUUUGAGGGAAAGAUAGGGAAACUUCCACAUCACAUCUUUAUCCCUUGAUCAAUUCCUCCAUCCCAAGCUCUUAAGCUAUAGUACUUUCUGACCUAUUAAGAAUUUGGAAGUCGAUUCAAAGAUUCAAAGCAAAGGUUCGCUCCUGCUGAAAAAGCUUAGUAAGCCGGGCUUCGAAAAAGAGCUCUCGAAUCGGACUAAAAGGAAAAGGUAUCCUAUCCCCUAGGUGGCAGAGCAGCCUAUUCUAUACUCUCUACCAGCUGAUGAAAGAAGAUCCUAGUCUUGAACAUCAUACUCUUUUCUUUGAGAGCAGAGCUCACUUCACUUUGCCCAUCAGAUCCUUGAGCUAGUAGCUAGUUAGGGCUGAUAUUACAAUCAAGGAAUGAGAGAGUUUCAUAGGUGACUAGUGUAGAGAGAGGUUAUGAAAGAGACCGACUACGCGGUUAAGGCUGUGAGAUGGAUAGCCUUGCCCCGAGAGAGGCCAUAGGAUAGAGUCGAACCGACGAUGCUCUUCCAGCUAAGUUGUCUGGCCUGAGUCCGUUCACUGAGCUCUGAGCUUUGCUCCUGGUCGUCAAUAUUCUUUGUGUGCUGUCUACUCUUUUUUGGAAGAAAGUUUCAGCCUACUAAGAAUCAAGAAAGCGCAACUUCGAUUUUGAUGCCAACAACAUGAAACUUAAGGAUGAAAUGAAGAAAUGCAAAAAUAUCCAUCACUCUCCCGCUCUGAAUUUGCAAAGAUGCGGUUUCUGACUCCCCCACGGUGCGGUAGAAAAAUCUUGAAGCCUUGCACUCAUCAACGCAAUAUUCUUUGCGCCUUAUCUUACUUUCAGUCGAGCCGUCCUACGCAGCUUAAUAUGUGAGCGGGAGUGGGAACCUACUAUUUGGAAGAAGCCUAGGGGAUCAAAAUCAAGAGAGAAAGCCUAGAGGCGCGAAGCUACUUACAAGGCUAGGCGUAAUUGAGGAGACUGAGUUUACGAACGAGAUAAGGGUCAAAGAAUUUGAGAGGCGAGAGCAGCUCUUUCUUCUUUCUGUUUAAGCUGGAGACUUUCUUAUGUUCCCACGGAGCGGGUAGGGAAUUGCUCUUAGCCCAGGCCGUCGGCCUUCUUUCUGAAUUGACUGGUCCAUACAUUAAGAUACUCCUUUGCGAAAGGAAAGCUACUCUAACUAAAGAGAAGGAAUGAGACUAGCCGCACUAUAUCACUAUUCAGACGAGAGAAGAGGAGAAGAAAGGGCUAUGCCUUUCUCAUCCAUGAAUUAAUCACCGAAACCCCUUGCACUCCUCUUCCUUAUAAUCGCUAGGUCAAUAUUCUUUGAACCUUGUAAAGGAAGGAAGGAGGGUCAAGGUUAUCAGCGAGAAAGAAAUUCAGGGAGCAUCACGCCGAACUCCGUUUUCUUUCAUCUCUUGGCGCGAACGAGAUCAGAAUCGGCAGCUCGCCCAUAAGUCCAGUCCGCUGACAGGUCAAAAUAAUCGUAAGCCCCCCUGAAUUAGUUCUUUCCGCGGUUGCUCUUGUUUCGGCAGUCGCUGUGGAAAAAGAAGUGGCUGUCGCAGUAGUCGUUCCCGUUGAUCGGGCAGAUCGCUAGAGCGUAAGGCCUCAUUCAAGGAUGAAUUAUGUACUAAAACAUGUCCACGUUUUUGACUCUUCUUCUUUCACCUUCAAACUUGAAUAAAGACUUCAAACUUCCCGGAUGAUUUCCCUGGAAGGAUUUCUUCGAUUCGUCUGUAAAGUGAAAGUAGUGAGGAAACCGCUCAGAGGCACUCGCUCGACCGAAGGAAGACAAGGCAGAAAGUCCCCACCAGCAGCAUUGGAUCUCGAAGGAUCACAGGUAAAGGAUCGACGAGACUCAAAUUCUUUUCCUUGUCAAUAUUCAAAUAGUGGUCCUUUUUCUUUAUCAAGCUUAAUCUGUGGAAUAUUAGUGGAUAAACAAGGGUUCAAAAAAUCAAGGUCCAGAUGACAGGCUCAAUGAAAUUUGAGUUUCUGACUCCUUCUCAAAUUCUUUGAUCCUCAGUCCUAUCCAUAUUAACCCGGGAUUUCUCAAUCUUCUGAUCGCCAUUCUCUUCUUUCUUCUUUGCACCUCUCCUUUGAAUGCGCUUCGCUUCUCAAGAAUAUCCCUUAUGGCACCUGUGAAAAGUCAAGAAAAGAAAAGAAUAAUUCACUCAUUAACGAGAAUGAAAGAAUAAUUAGGAUUGAAUCACCUUGUUUUUACGGAGGGAAAUGCUAGGUUUUGCCCAUAGGGAAGUAGCAAGAAAUCAUGAAAAAUCAGUCAUUUUUCGACAAUUUUCGUUAAAUAGAAAUCUUUGAUUUAGUCCUAUUUAGAAGCAAAAAAGCCGGGAAAUAGCAAGGCAUUGUCCUAUUUGAUUUUCGAAAUUCACAUUGAUCAGUUCUAGUUUGAGUUUAUGGUCCGGAGAAAGAGAGGUCUAUUCUUUAUUUCCCUCCGUAAAAACAAGGCUCAAAGAAUGAUCGGAUUCUUUCAUUCCCAUUUUGAGCUUCUUUAAUUCGAGUUAAUGAGCUUCUUUUCUUUUCGUCAAUAUUAUAUUCAUUGAUUUGGAGAUUGAAGACGGAGUUCAUUCCUAGAAAAUGCUAGGGCGAGACAGGUCCUCCGGACUAUCCAUAUUAACCUGUGACGCCUUCGGACCUGUCUCGCAAUAUCCUUUGCGCCUGGACGUUUUUGGGACUUGUUUAUAUCCAUAUUAGCUUGGAGCCUCCUACGCAGCAAUGAGAAAUUUGACGGAUGAAAGCCUAUGUUGAGGACUCGGAAUGAGUUCCAGAAAGAGGGUCUAAAAGGAGAGGUUCAAAGAAUAUUGACUUGGACAGGAGCUAAGUUCUUCGGACCACAGGCUCAAAGAAUUAUCGAAGGAAUCUGGACCCUUGUUGCGGAAAUUAAGCUGCUCCUCCUCCUCAACGUUCUAAUGGAUAGGACUGAGGCGCAUCAAAAAAAAGGUUGAAGAUGACCUUGAUUUUUUCCUAACUUAUUUCUUAUAAAGAGAAGGCGAGUUAUUUCAUCCCUCUCUUCUCUCCCUGCCCCCUAGAACCGAUCCUAUCUAUCAUUUAAAGCCCUUUUCGACCUUUGCUUUCAUUCGAAUCACAUUCAGGUAUUUGACUCUGAUCCGGAAUCCCCCAAUCAAGAAGGAAGAUGGGACAUGUAAAGGAUAAAGAGUUUCAAGCAAGGCGCCGACGAAUGAAUAAUGAAUAAGGAAGAGCGAUCCGACGAAGCUACUUCUGCAACAAGGAACUACUACAACUGCCACAGCCCCUUACCGCCCGCUACGUGGGCUUAGAGCUAUUUCUUCCUCAACUUCAUUCCCCCAAGCAAUAGGCCUCUUCCGGGUGGCUUUCUUAUCCUAGGAAAGUGAUUUGACUGAUUCUCAUUUGAUUUGAGGGGAAAAUGCAAUCUUUACAAGUGCGUAUGAACUUCCAGUCUCGCAGCUUGGUCGAAAAGCUUGGGCUAGCGGCUGAUUCAACUGCUAAAGCUACAGCUUCAAGAUCGAAUUCCCUGAAAAAUCUCUCUCUCAUCCCUUUCCGCGCACUAAGAAGGUUCGUAAACUCUUUUUUGAAGACUCUCCUUUCUUUUUGCUUCGCACCUUCUAAGUCAGAUCAAUUCCAUCUCACCGCUACGUGGGCCUCUCGUGAAAGAUCCUAUUCUCUGGUCGUAUUCGCACCUUUCUCAGGGGAUCAUACCCUUUUUAGAGAAAGAGAGAAUGUUUCUGUCUGCUGAAACUAGGGUUAGCUGUGUCUAACCUUCCCCUUAAGAAGAGAUAUGAUAAGACCUCGUUCACUCAGCUUCAACACUCAAAAUCCGAACCCUAGAAAAGAAAGCCGCAUCCCCUUUGUGCUGUCCCACUCCUCUCCAGCUUCCUCUUACUAAAUCAAAGUCAAGCCCCUUCGCUCCUAUCCUAUGAUUCUGAGUUCAGUUGCUCUGAUGAAGGAUCGUCUUCCUAUUUCUAAUCCGGAACAGAAAGAGCUUCAACGGCGGCCAAGAAUCAGCUCAUUUUGGACUCUUCAGAUCCCUAUCUAUCCGGAGAGGAGCUUCGCUCAACACCCUUCUUUUGUUUUGCUUCUUAGUGAUAGCUUCUACCCUCGGAGAUGGAGCUCCUUCUUGUUCUCGAUCUGAUUCCUAUCGCUACUUCAUACCUAACUGGCACCUAUGAAACUGGGACGGAUUCCUUUGCUCUCGUUCGCUGACUCUGACUUUGGUCGAGCUAUCACUACUGCUGGCGUCAAUAUUCUUUGAACCUCUUCCUUCGGAAAAGGUCAAUAUUCUUUGAACCUCUCUAUCUCCUUAAAUAUUGAACUUAAGAACCUCAAAAGAAAGCGGAAAUCUUCUCCUCGCAAUAUUCUUUGCGCCUAGCCUUCGAUCUGACGCUUUUGCUAGUCCCUGGUCGAGUCUUUCCUCUUUCUUCAACAUAGGAGUGCAGUCUGAUUUCUGAUUCUUUAGGUAGCAAUUCUUCUUUCUUAUUCUGAAAGGCCCGGAGGUUGAAAAAAGCUCUUUCUUUGUUCUUAUCCUCUUAGAAUAUAUUAUUCAAUUCAAUUGGUCUUACAAGGAGCAGAAGUUUUUGUCAAUUCGUACGUAGAAAUUUCAUGUGUGAAGCUCUAGGUCGAUCCGGAGCUACGAAAGCUUUCUUCUCCCAGUUCUUUCUAGGUCAAGAAAAAUGAAUGGGAGGCGAAGGGGAGAGCUUCCGAGUUCAGUCCCACAGGUAUCGGCUUCCUAUUUUAGUUCUUGUUAUGAAAAGUAGAAAGCCUUCGAUCCUAAGUUAUUGCUUUUUUCGACAUGGUCGAGACCCCGAGAAAGUCUCGAAGCCUAUCAUAGCACCGAUCCAACUCCUCGCAAUAUUCUUUGCGCCUUCCUUAAGUCUGAAUCAAUCAAUAAUCAAUGAAUGAGGCUUUCCCGUAAAGCACUCAGUGCUCAUACGACCAAGAAAAGAUAAGAAAGAGGGAGAGAGGCUCCAUAAGACAGGGAUAUUGUAAGCCGAUCUUGCUGUUUUGACCUGAAUUACGGAGUGAAAUCAGCCGAUCUUGCACAAGACAGAAGAAGAGCUUCUUCCCCGACAAAAACGAGUACCGGGAAGAGGGUCAAAGAAUUUGAGGAAGAGCUUUUUCCUUUGGACUAGAUUGCGAGAACGUUCUAUAACCACUAACCACUGAAAGGUGGCUUCUUCGCAAAUUCUUUGCACCUAGGUUCUCACGCAUAUUUCAUUGCGCCUCAUACUGACUUCCACACUUACCUCUUUCUUUCCCUUCCUCAAACCUAAAACACAAAGUAUACCUUUCUUCUUCGCAAUAUUCUUUGCGCCUGACUUACCUCUUCUUUCCUGACUUACCUGUACUGUAGGGCUUCGCCCCCUUAUACUUCCUGUACUUCCUUAUCUUUUUCUUCCUGACUUACCUGUACUUUAGGGGCCCCUUUAAACUUGUUCUUUCUUUCCUGUUGUUGCUCUUGGGCUUCGCCUUCAUACUUUUGGUUACGGUGGCUUCUUCGCAAAUUCUUUGCACCCUCCGUUAGGAGUAUUAAGACGGACCCUUCCUUCCAUAUGGAUGGUCCUACUUCGGUUAAUUACGGAUGGUCCUACGGAUAAAUCCUCCGGACUACUUCCUUCCAUAUGGAUGGUCCUACGGAUAAAUCACCUGGACCUUUCUUUGGCCCUGCGGACGUAGGACGUAGGACUACUUCGGUUAAUUACGGAUGGUCCUACGGAUAAAUCACCUGGACCUUUCUUUGGCCCUGCGGACUGCGGACUCCGGACCCUGGACCUUUCUUUGGCACGUAGGACAGGUGAAUACUAUUAUUUUCACGGAGGCUCAAAGAAUGAUCGAGGGAUAGCUCUGAUUUUCACGGAGGGAGGCGAGACUGAAUCAAUGAACAAAGGUGAUACUUAUCUCUUUCUUUUGUCUCAAGCUUUUAUACCAUUGACGUGAAGGAUUUGCCUUCAUGAAAACGAAGAAGAAAAGGAGCGGAUCGCGCACGCCCACUCCGCGGUAAAGGCCUAAUGUCAGAGGGAGGCGCAAACUAAGCCGCUGCUCGAGCCACAGGAGAGUAAUACGGGGAUCGACUUCCACCUAGUUGGAGGGAGGAGCCAUAGCUCUUGCUUUUUCAGCAGUCCUUCCUGUGUAGGAUGAAAGAUCCCUUGUUCGGUAAGCGCGUCAUCGACCAGCUUAUAGCGAGCCUAAUCACCCCAUUGUAGGGUAGAAAGAAGGGCGAUUUAUCUCAAUCCAAGUGAAAAGAGAAGCAAGGCCGACGGCCAACGAACUCCUACUAUCUAUUCCACACUACCAGCAAGGUGAAAAGAAGAUUGAAUCCGUCUUCCGCUCCGUUGACCCUAGCGAUCAUGAGAAUUCCCAGGUUUUCAUCCAUUCACAAAAAGACCCAAUCCCAGUCGUGGAAGAGAAGUCAGAAAUGGGACAGAUCUUUUGGCACUCUCCGAGGAGUUAGGCUUAAUUCAAAGGAUGAACCAUAUCUUUCUACGCAAACUAAUAGUUCUAUAUCGGAAACAAGGUCUGAUGACAUGGAAGAUCGUCGCUUUAGCCCGGCUUAGGUCGCAUUCCUAUCUGACUUAGUUGCUCUCAUACCAUAGACUCGGAAAGAGAUAAUGACUCUGGGGUAGAUGAAAUUUCUUCGUGCCGGGUUUAUGUAAGAAAUCGCCUAGUGCUUGAAUUGCACUGACUGUAUUUUCAUCUAUAUUGCAAAUAGAAGAAAGAGCACUUAAUAGGGAAUACGAAGAAAGAACUGAGCCGGGACUGAUUACGAUCGGUCUCAAACCUCUAUCUUGUAUUAUCCCUUUCAGAGACUUCAGUGAGGGAAGACCUCUCACUCCCCCAACCCUGGCUGACGAACCUAUCCAGAUCCAUUGGGAAGAAGAUCCCAUGACGGAGGUGACUUCUAGCUUCGUACCGAAGCCAAUUCCUUACCGCUCCGUGGGUUCAGAUGAAUGAGACGGUCUUCCUAGCGCCGUCCUAUCUUUGAUCAUACAAUGAAAUACCGCGUAGUGGGACCUGCCUUUUUCUUUUCGAAAUAAAUAAGAAGGAGGCUGGAUUCAAUUUCGAAUGCCCUUACUUUACUAUUCAAAACUAUACUCUACGCGCGAGAUGAUGUAAGACAAGAAGAAGAUCAGAAGAGCUUUCAAUUAUUCUAACGAAGAGCUUUUAGAGAAAGGUGCGUAGCAAGGCUCUCAGAAAUUGAGCAGAAGCGAGACCAUUGUCAAGUUUUCAUAGUCUUUUAUCAAAAUCGAAAGAUAUAAGUAGUAAUUCACAAUAUUCAAUAAGUUAUAAAGCUCUGCGAAUGCGCAAAUAAUCAGAUAUUCACUGGUGCAAUGUCUUAUUCCCGCUCCCUGGGAGGUAUACUCUAGAAGUCUUUAUAUAUUGAUUAUGAACCGCUCCGCUCAUAAUCCGAGAUUCACUUCUCAGAAGUAGUUCACAAUAAAUUCUCAAGCUCUUUCCUAAUUAAUCUUCCCGCUCCGCUCAUAAUCCGAUAUUCAGACGAAUCUCAUAAUAGUGGUUGAUCUUUGUUUAUUUGCUUUAUCAAGCUCUUAUUCUUCUCUGCGUCUUUCUGAAACUUUCUUCUGCAGAUAUGAAAAAUCAAGCUCCAGAUGAGUUUCAUUCUAGCUAGAACUCGUUCUCUCCGCGAAUAAUCAUCUAUUCACAAGAAAUAAAUAGUAAUCUCUUCUCUCCUUUGUAAACCUACUAUUUGGAAGAAAGCCUAUCCUUCUACACCGCGUAGUGGGUCGAGCUGCUUCGCACCGCUCCGUGGGCUACUUCUCUCCACUUCUGAAACUGAAAGUCAAUGAACAAGGCUCAAAGAAUGAUCGAGGAGUCUUAAUUGAAUCAUAUUGCUCCAAAAACAAAGGUCCAGAUGAGUCAGAAAGAUUUCCUUAAGUCCUUCGGACGCUUUCCUCUCGUCGAUCGGGCUUUGGUCGUACGUAUGAUAGUAAUUCAUUGAAUGAAUCUAUUUCCCUUGGUUGGGCAGCACUAGAGAUGCAAGGUCAGCACCAACUUCCACUUCUGCAGCAUCAAGGGAGAAAGAAACUGCCCGUGGCUCUCGAAGCUAGGCUUUCAUCCGCCAAAUUUCUCAUUGAUCUGGUGGUCGAAGAGCGAGCUUCAAGGGCAGAGAGAGUAGCUCAAUAAAAGACAAGAAGAAGGAAAAAUAAUGGAUUUCUAGUCCUUCGCCUAAGAAUAAGGUUCAAAGAAUAUUGAACUCAUGAAUAUGGAUCAAAAUCAGUCCCACUAUUUCAAGUGGAAUUAAUGGCGCGACAGGCGCAUAUUGCGAUGAAUCAUCUUUUUUUCUUUCGAGGACUACGAAUUUUGACAGUCCGAAGGUGCAAAGAAUAUUGCGUGAGAUUUUGGAUAGCUCUGACUUUGAAAAGACAAAGAAGGACUUCGGACCAAAAAAUAGGCGAAGCGAAUACUCGUGCAAGUGCUGGAGCGGAAUCCUGUUCAUGGAUUUUGAGUGGAUUCGGAACUAUAAAUGGUCGGCGAAUAUAUAGGAUGAAAGUACAGUGAUGUCCGUCCUUGUUAGCACGUCCGGUCUUCGACACACUAUCGAUUUUCUUGACUUUCUUCCUUUCCUUAGCCUGCUUAGGGCUGCCCCACGUAGCCGUAGCGGUGGGGAUCUAUUACUUUCAAGUCUAGUUGCUCCCUUAUAGAUAAGGGUUGUAAGCAUUCCAGUCUCCCUUGUUCGGAAAGAUGUUCACUCCUCAAAUUCUUUGAGCCUCUUGUUAUACGCGAAGAAAGCUCUUUUCCAGACACUCACUUAACAAGGCAAGGAUGAAUAGUGAUAUGUAGUGAUCCUAAAGCCUGGCUUUGAGCCUUCCUUGCUUUCCAUGAGGGCUGGAAGCGUGGCACCUCACACCUUUGUACACGUAAGAACUACUCAUCUGCACCAUCAAAGAAAGGUCCAGGGUCCGGAGUCCGCAGGAUUUAUCCGGAGUCCGGAGGAUUUAUCCGUAGGACCAUCCGUAAUUAACCGAAGUAGUCCUACGUCCGCAGGAUUCUUAUCCGUAGGACUAUCCAUAUGGAAGUAGGACCAUCCGUAAUUAACCGAAGUAGGACUAUCCAUAUUCAGGAGCGGAAUCAAGAAUAGACCCGUCAGUAUCCGGACCAGAAACCAUAAGAAAACUCUGUUCAUUGAUUUUCCCUAGAUUUUUCUAAUGGACCAGUUGCAAUUUCCCGGCUUUUUUGCUUCUAAAUAGGACUUUUUCGACUUUUCUUAUCUAACGAUAAAAGUACUUUUUUGACUGAUUUUUUGUCUUUUCUUGCUACUUCCCUAUGGGCAAAACCUAGCAUUUCCCUCCGCGGAUUCAUCUGAAAUCUAGCAGAUUCAUCUUCAAUCUAGCACAAAUCAAUGAAUAUUGACAAUGAACAAGGCUCAAAGAAUUUGAGUCUGCUUUCAUUCCCAUUUUGAGCUUCUUUCAUUAUCGUUAAUGAGUUCAUUCUUCUUUUCUUUUCUUUUUUCUUUGAUUGACUUUUCACAGUCCGGAGGACAGGUCCGAAGGCGCAAAGAAUAUUGCGAGGAGUUGACUAUCCAUAUUCAUGAAAAAGGACGGGUGAGGCUCAAAGAAUUUGAGUCUUUAUUCGCCUAUGAAGUAAUUCUUCCACGAAUCAACUCAAUCGAGACGAGGGACAUAGGCUCCCAGUACGAAGGGACUGAAGCGAACCCCACCGGUGCCCGCCCUUGAUCUAUUUUAGAGGCAUAUUCAGUCCUGAAUGAGUAAAUGAGUGAAUCUGGGCACGCACAUCUUGGAACCUUCUCUUUUCAUUAAGAAAGAAAGAAUCCCAGGUUCAAAGAAUCCAGGGCUAAGAGGACUAGGGUGCGAACCCCAUCCACCGAUUCCUUCUUUCAUAAGUCAGAGUCUGAAAGCAUAAGUCGACAUCAAUAUAGGUCCUAAGCUAGCAUAGGACGGACGGGGCGGAGUUGGAAGCUCUCACGGAGGGGCGAAGCGACUGGGAAGGUGGGUUAGCAAGGCUGGAUUCAAUUGAGUGGGUGGAAGCGAGACCUGUCCUCCGACCUCUUUUAUCCACUAAUAUUUGACUCCGGACUUGUUAAUGGAACUAAUAUGUUCGGGAGGACCUCUUUUAUCCGUCCUCUUUAGAGUCCUUCGGACGUCCUCAGUCCUAUUCAACCCAUUCCAUUGAAUUUCUGGAAAUAAGGGUCAAGAUGCGCCAUAAGACAGGUCCGAAGGACUAUCCAUUAGGGGAUUUGAUGACGAACGUUAGGAUCAAUGAAAUGAAUUUGAUGAGAAAGAAUAUUGCGAGAAGUCAUGAUCCCUUUCAUGCAGCUGCUUAAAAAAGAGCUUUUUGCGAAGUCAUGAUCCCAAAGCAAAGGCCUUAAAUAGGGCAAUAUUCUUUGCGCCUUGCACUCCUUUCUUCUUUUCUUAGAUAAAUGCGCUUCGCUUCUUCUCAAAUUCUUUGAGCCUUAGUUAAGCGCAAAGAAUAUUGCGUCAUGAUCCCUUUCAUGCAGCUGCUUAAAAAAGAGCUUUUCAUUUGCGAAAAAGUAUUAUGGAAAUAAUAUCCGGACUGAUUUUUUAUGGAACUGAUUUUCAAAGAUUCCACUAAAACUGAACCGCAAUAUUCUUUGCACCUAGGCUUUCUCCCAACAAAUCUUCGUUCUUAGUUAUUUGAACCUUCAAUCUUUUCAAAAAGCUUAUUGAUUGAUUCAGGGCUUAGCCCUCCUUCUUAGAACCCAUUGAGGGGAGGCCCGGGAAGGGGAGAGUGGCCGAGCGGUCAAAAGCGACAGACUGUAAAUCUGUUGAAGUUUUUCUACGUAGGUUCGAAUCCUGCCUCUCCCACGGAGCUUCUUUGUUGUAGACUGAAGAGAAGAGAAAGGAAAGGAGGCAUUCGUCGUCAGCGUAGGAAGAAGGCCGACCGAGCCAAUAUGUGCUUUCUUUUUUUUUGCCGUGCCGUGAAGUUCAAUUGUAUCGUAUUUCAGUUUAGAGAGGUUGCCGAAUUACUACGAUCUAUAGAUUCCCAUCGAUAGACAAUCCCAACCAGAAUAGAAGCGAGUCGCUUCCGCUUUGGCUUGUAGUCCUUGUCUUUUAGCUUAUGUAGUGGUCGGCCUUCCGACACGCGCGCGCCCGCCAGAAUGCCCCCUUGCUUCUGCACGAAGCCCAAGCCAAUACAUAGGAUAGGCGAAGGAAAGACCCCCCAUUUCAUAGCGCCUGGGGAAGGCAAGUUUUCUCGAGGAUUGGAGGCGCGACAGGCUCAAUUCAGAAAUGGAUAGUCCGGAGGUUCAAAGAAUAUUGACUAGACUUCCAGUCCGGAGGCGCAAUUCAAUAUGCGAAUGAGUGCAAGCGAAAACUAAUAGAUUUCAUAGUCAAGAGGACGGAUACCGCACCUCGCAAUAUUUUCAGUGGAAUAAGACUGAUCUGGAGCCUUUGUUUUUGACUCCUUGCUAUUUAAUGGAUAAACAAGUCCUCCGGACGGGUCCAGCAAAAACAAAGCGGAAAACGCAAGUCAAAUUCUCUAAUGGAUAGGCCUUGCACUCCUUAAUAGAAAGCCGAGCAUUUGCACGCAAUAUUCUUUGCACCUUGUUUUUGUUCUUCGGGCCUUCGUAGCUUAACUUAAUAUGGGGAUCUGAUCUUUGCUCCUAACUACGGGGUCCGACCGCCCCGUGGGAAUAAGAUGAAAGUAGCGGAGUAGUUUGAAAGAAAGGAUAUAAGUUUCAGUGGAAUAAAGGGAGAUAGGCUUGAAUCUUUUUAGUAGGAAAAUCAAGGUCCAGGUGACGGAAGAAAAAGUCAAAAGUCUAUCCCUGUCAUUGAACAGAUUCAUUGAGGACUUUCAUCUUCUAUAUUAUGAGGCUUACUAGUAAUGCUGAAGUUCCUCCUACGGGAAUCAAAAGUGAAAGGAAGGAAUAAGGACUCAAAUUCUUUGAGCCUCCGGAGCCUUCAUCAUUUCAUUUUGAUGCCUUCUACGGCGUUCAAGUCAAAGAGUAUUCAAGAUCAGAGUUUCAGAGCUUUAUCAAAACUUAUCUUUAUCUUGUCUUUGAAGAAAGCAAUAAAAAAAGUUAAGACGAGCUAUAUACUCCGAAGGACGUCGUCUGGACCCAGCCGUAGGCUUCUUAAAAUAGUGAGGAGUCCGGAGUCCGCAGGAUUUAUCCUACGUCCUACGUCCGGAGUCCGCAGGAUUUAUCCGGAGGACUAUCCAUAUGGAAGUAGUCCGGAGGAUUUAUCCGUAGGACCAUCCGUAAUUAACCGAAGUAGGACCAUCCAUAUGGAGGGAAGUAGUCCGGAGUCCGCAGGAUUCUUAUCCGUAGGACUAUCCAUAUGGAAGUAGGACCAUCCGUAAUUAACCGAAGGAGGACUUUCCGUAAUUAACCGAACUUUGCGCCUGGACUGGACUAGAAAUCCAUUAUUUUUCACUUUUAUCCGGCUGCUCCUACGGAGGCGCCAUAACCAUAAGACAGGGAUAUUGUUGGAGCUUUAUUUUGCAUUUCAGAUUUCUUGAGUUGCGCUCCUUAACAGAAUAAGGAAUGAGCUUCUCCCCUCUCCUUACAGUCGAGUUAUUUCAUAACCUUCGCCUCGCAAAUUCUUUGCACCUUGCGCUCCUCUCUAGUCUCGCGCUCUUUGCUUCGCACAUCUGCGUCCUUCUUUUUGUUCUUCGCGCCUCCGGACCAUUAAUCAGUCCUUCGCCUCAUUCUUAAGUCAGAAAAUUCAGGCUCAAGAUGAGAUUCUUUCUUUUCUGGCGGCUUAAUAAGCGAGUCAUGAUCCCUUUAAAGCAGACGUUAGGAGCAAUUCAAUAUAUCCUAGGCUUGAUUCAUGAAAGCUAUAAAACCCUAAAAUAGCAAGGAGUCUUAUGGAACUUAAAGGACUGAGGUUCAAUAGGGUAGAGUCUCAUCACCCCAUUAAUAAAGUUUGGAGUCUUAUGGAACUUGAAUAAGGAGCGGAGCAAAAACAAAGGUCCAGGUGACUAUUCAAUCUAUUUAUUGAGAAGAGGACGGCUCGGGAUGGAUUUAGGAGUCUUUGUGCGAGCCGUAUGCGGUGAGAGUCGCACGUACGGUAACGAGGGGGGUUCGCGUCUAUACGUGUAGUGUGGUGGUUGGGCCUACCCACCCUAUUUG
rnacentral:lncRNA from 1 species